rnacentral:lncRNA from 1 species
GAUGAAGAAGUUGGAAACUCUUGAUUUCUCAAAAAACAAGUUGAGCGGGAGCAUCCCUCCAAGCAUGGCAGCUUUGACUUUUUUGAGCCAUUUGAAUUUGUCACACAACAACUUGUCGGGACAAAUUCCAACAGGAAAUCAACUGCAGACGCUUAUUGAUGAUCCAUCAAUAUAUGCUGGGAACAAACAUCUAUGUGGACCUCCAUUGCAAAACACUUGCUCAAAUCAUCAAGAUUCAACAACAACAACAAGCAAGAAGAAACACAAAGCAGCUGAUGAGAAGAUGGAGGUAUGGUUGUUUUAUGUGGAUAUAAUGAGUGGUUUUGGAACAGGGUUUUGGGGUGUUAUUGGAGUUCUGAUGUUCAAGAAGCAGUGGAGACACAAACUUUUCAUGUUUGCUGAGGAAACCAUGGAUAAGAUAUACGUUGCAGUUGUGGUAAGAGUUGCCAAGUUCAAGAGAGGAAGAGAAUAGCUGCAUAGAUCAUGUGGAAUGCAAGUAGUUCUUGAAUGCAUGUUAUCAGUGAUAGUUUUGCUUUUGAGAUAUGCUUAUUCUAAUGUAUUACUAUUUGGAUUUUGUAUUUGUAUGGCCUUUGUGAUAUCAGUGUUGUUUAGAGGUGCUAAUUUACAAAAUUUCUUUUGGAUUUGGUAUUUAUACAUGAUCAAGUUGUAGAUUUAGAUUACUAUGUAUUUGAGUUGUAGAUUUUUUUUUUCUUUUUAAUUCUCGACCUUCUGCUGCUGCUCUCACUCCCAACAUGCUGUUGCAUCCCUCGGUUUUCAUCUGCAUUGGUCCAAGUAAGUAAGAACCAUGUAAUUGACUCAUUAUUUAUUUUCUUCAUUUGUAAAAUUUCUAGUUUUUCAUGUAUAGAAAGAGGAUGUUUGGGUGAAAGGUGGAGUUUUUUUUUUGUUGGAUUUGGUUUUUAGAUAAGACUAUGGUCUAGUAUGAAUCUGCAAUGGCAGUGAUCUUGGUUGAUUGUUUUAUUAUAUUCUCAUGAGAUUGCAAGUUAUGAGAUUAGAUUAGGGUUAAUUUCAUAUUUUUGUGUUUGUUUGUAUGGUGUUCACUCUAUACAGACAAUCACUCUGACCAACAUGAAAUUGUAUUGUAUGUAUUUGUUGCAUUAAACUUGUGGUCCAUUUUACCCUUCCUGAAGAGUAGGUUGGUUUUGGAUAGGAUAGGAUAGCUAUGUUUUUCUCAUCAUCAUUUAUGUUAUGUAAUCCUCCACAAGGCAUAUCAUCAUUGACAAUAGAUUUAAAGAGGGUCAUAAAGUCACUUCUGAUACUAUAUUAUUUCUAAGUUUAUGAUAUUUUGUCAGUUUUUUUCAUUUUGGAUUUUUCUUGACCCAUCCCCCUUUCUACUUAUGUGUUUUAAGUUUUUCAUAUAUUGUAUCAUGCGUAACCUUGUUCUUUACUUUANCUUAAUUUAGAUCAUUUUGAGUGCAUCAUCGCAUGGUUCUUCAUGAUUGCUCCUCUCCUCCAUUAAACCAUGUUAAUUACUAGUGAGUUUUGUUGUGUACUUUGAAUUGCUUCAAGUGGAUAAAAUAUUUUGCCUGAACCAUAUAAUUUGAAAACACAUUGUCUAAUAUAUACCACAGCCUGAUUAAAUAAUAAACACAAACAAAUAAAUAAAAUGAAUGUUGCAUUCAGUUAAAGGAGCCCAAUGUUUAAGGUUUAAUACAGUGUNUAAUAAUAGAACAAAUAUGUGAACUUUGGGGGCUACUUUAUCGACUUCAAAUUCAUAUGUGAGGUCUACCGUGAAAGUAAUUAGACUUCUUAUGAAUAGAUUUGACUAGUUAUCCUCAAAAAAGCAUUUUUGUUCCAAAACAAUAAAAGAAUUUGUUGCAAUUUUGGUGGUUAUUUUGAUGUUUUAUAGCAAUUUUGGUCAUGUUCCAAGUAAAGUUACCAUCUUACCCUUUAUCUAAAAAUAUUGUAAGUUCAUAUAUAUUAAAAUNNNNNNNNNNNNNNNNNNNNNNNNNNNNNNNNNNNNNNNNNNNNNNNNNNNNNNNNNNNNNNNNNNNNNNNNNNNNNNNNNNNNNNNNNNNNNNNNNNNNNNNNNNNNNNNNNNNNNNNNNNNNNNNNNNNNNNNNNNNNNNNNNNNNNNNNNNNNNNNNNNNNNNNNNNNNNNNNNNNNNNNNNNNNNNNNNNNNNNNNNNNNNNNNNNNNNNNNNNNNNNNNNNNNNNNNNNNNNNNNNNNNNNNNNNNNNNNNNNNNNNNNNNNNNNNNNNNNNNNNNNNNNNNNNNNNNNNNNNNNNNNNNNNNNNNNNNNNNNNNNNNNNNAAACUAGGUGUGAGACCCGUGUAUUACACGAGUUUAUUAAAAAUAAAAAUUUAAUAUCAAUAUUUAAUCAUUAAAUAUUUUAUAAAAUAAUACUUUUACAUAACAUAAUAUAAUCUUUUGUAAUAUUUAUAAAAGAAAUCAAAUAUUCUUUAAAGCAUUUAUUAGACUUUAUUAUCAAAUUAAUAGAAUCACUACUAGAAAAACAGCCUUUUACGACGCUCAUUGCGCGUCGUAAAAGGCUCAGACGACGCGCAAAUGCGCGUCAAGGAAGGCCAUGUCAUAAAGAGAGACGACACGCUUUUGCGCGUCGUCUAUAGACGACGCUCAUUUACGACGCGCAAUUACGACGCGCGUUUACGAUACGCAAUGCGUAUCAAGGAAGGCCCUGUCAUAACGGAAGACGACACGCAUUCGCGUGUCAUUACCUUACGACGCGCGUGUUAAUGACACACACAUUUUUGCGUAUCAUAAUUUUAAAUGUUUAAAAAAAACAUUAUUUAUAGAUUUACUUAUUUUCAAAUUAAAUUUGUAUUUAAUGUUUCAUAAUAGAAAAUAAAAUAUGAUAUACAAAAAAUAGAAUCCAUUGCAUAAAUUUAAUGUCAUACAAAAAAUAGAAUCAAUUGCAUAAAUUUAAUGUCAUACAAAAAAUAGAAUCCAUAGAAAAAACCAAUUAGUCCAACAACUAUAGGCAAAUUUCUAACUUCUAAUGCAGUUCCACUUGGUUGAUAUUCAAUUCCAUCAACUACCCCUAGCCAUAGCAAGCACAGAAUCACAGUUGCCAAUGUUACAACUCCAAAAGCUGCUCAAUAAAACCUCUAGAAUUAGUCCCUUUAACUCAGCCAAGGGUAUAAAAAGAAAAUUACUGAAGGAUAUAUAAAUUAGAACCUGAAAUAUAAGAGAGUAAACUGAGGUUUCUCAACCAAACUGUGGAAGCAAUCCCUUCUCAGAUCUUUAAAUGCAUCCUAAUAGAAUACAAUAAAGUUACUAUUCUAAGAUUGCAUCAUUUACCUUAAUCUAUGACAUUAUUAAUGUGAAAGAAAAACAUUUUUGUUAUAAAGAAAAGUCAAAAAGAAUUUUUUUGUUGAUAAAUAACAGUCUAUAGGAAUAAAAGAGCAUACUACACGGAAGGGUGUUGGUUCCUUUUAUUGAACACCAUGGGAUUCACCACUUGUGCCCCAGUAGUGCAACCUGUUUUCACAUUGGGAGUGAAACCAGGAAAAAAAUCUGUAAUCUUCUUAUUUGUGACUGUUUUAGGGUUCUAAAUCACAGAUCUUUAGUUUACAGUCAGAAUUAGCAAGAAUGUUUUUGGGUUUUAAAUCUCAAUGAAACACAUUUGCUGCACACAUGACAAACAAUCAAACACAAAAGUAUACGUAUCUGAUGCAUAUAUUUGCACAUUCAUACAAGUAUUUGUAGGUAUCAGUCACAAUACCACAAGAACAUAUAUCUUAUCAAAAGUAUGGCCAAUUGACAACAUAUCAACCACACAAAAUUUAUCAAUCCUAAGGAAUUUGAACGGAAAUCAGAUGAGAAGAAAAAACUUGGAAGAGAUUGUUGAGAGAGUGUAAGAGGCAAAAUUGUAAAUUCUAUUUUUCAUGAGGCUGUGCAAUUAAGCUUUUAUCUUCAUAUCAAGUACAAAAAAAAAAGUUAAAAAGAUGUUAUUUAGUGUGUUAAAGGAGUGUAAAAACACAUAUACCUCAACAAAUGAUAACCCUUUCAAUAUAUUUGACUUGUAUGGUCCAAAAUACCCCUGACUUCUUAUCAUUUUAGUUAUUUGGUUUCGAACAGAUCUCCUAACAUUACCAAAAACCAACUGCCUUAGGCAACUUUCCACAUCCUCUCCUAGCUUUUUCCUGCAAAAAUAAUAAUUAGAGUUCAUAUAAUAGAAAUUUACAAGGAAAAUGUUGAAUACUUUAUAACUUUAUCAAGGAGUAAAAAUUAAUAAACAAUAAAAGGACACAAUUAUGUUCUAUCUUUUCAUGUGCUUGAAUACUUUAGACAGUCAUUUAUAAUGGAGAAAAGAAGUUACCAACUCUUUCAUGGUCUCCCAAAUCAGAAUAAAAAUUAGCUGAUAUGGUCAAAACAAGACCCUUUCACUCUUAUAAAUGUCCUUAUAAAUGUGAGAGUGUGUGACAGAAAUGAUAAGAUAGUGAUCACCUAAAACUCAAGACCCUUUCACUCUUCUAUGGUCAAAACAAGAGCAUGCAAGGACCUGAUCAUAGAGCAAAAUAGGUUGUUUUAUUUGCCUAUAAAGACUAUGACUUGAUCACCGAUUAUAAGUGUAAAAAUAGAACAUUAAAACUACAAUAAAGUAUUAAAGUACCUUGCCUUCAACCUCUCUAGGACUUUGAUGGUUACAAGUUGUGAGGCCAUGCAAGCAUCGGGAUUUACAAAUACCAGACAGUUUCCACAGAAAGCAUCACACGAAAGUGUAUGUAUGUAUCUCUCACCUAUGACUUCUUUAUGAACAUGUGUCCUUUUUUAGUGUUGGACCAAAUUCUUCGAUGAGGUGUGUAGAAAUAAUUACUUGAACAGUGAAUGCGGUAUCCCAAAGUUGACUGCCAUUGUAACCCUGUAUUAUAUAACGAAAAAUCAUAUACAUAUGCACUCUGAUACUAAUAUGUGCACACAAAAGAAAUCAAAUAUAAUGAAAGAAGAAUGGGAAAGUGUCAUCUUAAAACCUGCAUUUUCAUUCCAUAUUCAGCAAACCAAAGAUAAUCAUGUAUCCCUGGGAGGUGUAGCUUGAAAGCCUCUGAGUUUGGAUCUUCUGCCUAACAGCAGAGCAUAUUUAACACCUGAAGAAAAGGUUUUGGUUUAGACUAUAGAAAAGGAAUGCUUCAGAUAUAGGAUAUGAACUUUUCCAUUUUCCAAUAUAAGGAUUAGAUAGAUUAUAAUGGUAUUGUUUACCAUGUUUACAGGCCCUAUGCAUAUAUAGCGAGUAUUAUCAUCCUCAUAAUGGAUGUGUUCCAUGGCAGUGCUAAGAGCCUUCUCUCUCUACUUCUUCCUAGGCAAUCUCAUCAGUAUAAGAGUAAUAAAAAAAACUAAAAAUAUAAUUUAAGAACUAACAUUAACCCCCAUUGAAGUAUGGCCUUUUCUGUUGGUGAUCCAAAAACCUCAAUUUCUUAGCCUCCCUAUUAAACACCAACCAUAAUCAGGUAUCAUUUAAUGAUAAUUAUUAUAAAAAAAAAGAUUUACUAUAUUUGAAAAUACCUACCUCAUGUAAAAAGACAUUGCCAGUUGUAUUUUGAGCUACGUACACUUCACCAAUAAGAUACAUCAUCUCUCCUUCUUCCUUAACUACCCUUUCAGCAGCCUCUUUACUAACAACCAAAACUAUCCCAAUUCCCAUAUUAAAAGUCCUCUUCAUUUCACCAUCUUCAACCCUUCCAGCCUAAAAAGGGGCAAAACUGGAAACAUCAUUAGAAAAAAACAAAUAACCAACUUUUUAUUAGUGCUAUAAUGAACUUCUAAGCUCAAAAGUAUACCAUUUGUGAAUAGGAUCACAUAAUUUACAGAAGAAUGGUCUAAAAGAAGGAAAAAGACAUUUACUCAGGGACUCAACAAGACAAACAAACAGUCUAAAUUUAACAACAAGAAUACGUAAGAGAAAACACAGACUACAAUAAAUAGUAAAUGGAAUUACUAUGCAAAGUAAGUUUGCCCCAAAUACAGAGGAUCAUUAAUGAAAAAUAAACCAAGAUUUGAGAAGGUGAAGUGAUUCUAUGUUUACCUGAUUGAAUUUUGGAGAAGAUAAAGAUGAACACAGAUAACUAAGAGAUAAGAGACCAGAUGCAGUUUGUGCAGAAGUUUCCGAAGAGAUAAUUUCAACACGUGUUCUCAUUAAGACUUUUAAUCGGGAUGAAAUCCUUUGUUGAUUCCAUGGCAAUAGGAAAAGGAAAUGAAGAUUUAAUGGGUAGCAACAUAGAGCCGACCAAGCAAAACCAAGCCAUCCACAACUCUCAAAUCAAGACGAUGACAAACCUGGUGGGCGGUGGAGGCGCUGCUUAAGGCGACGACUUUGGGUGUCCACCGGAAGGGUUUUUUUACCGGCGGGAAGGGUUUUUGACCGACUUAGGGUGUCAACACGUGCACGCAUAGAAACAUGCUUCUUCCUUCCUUGUAGAAUUCCUUAUGGGAUGUCACCAUUAACAUCUUCACAAUUAUGCUCCAGUGAGUCAACACCACUCCUUUGCUCAAUCCGGUUGUACCGGAAGAAUAAAGUAUCGUGGUGUCAUCGGAUUGAGAAAUAUAGGGAGACAGAGCAGCAAGGUUACACUAUUUCUCUAUCAAAUCUGAGAAGUUUCCCAGAUCAAUUAUCGAUAGAUUGAAGCCAUUGACCUUAGAGAAUGGUUGUUCAACCCUGAUAAUCAACUUAGGUUUUGAAUCGCUGAUUUGGUGGGAAAGUAUAGGGGAUUCGUGGUGGUAGCGAUGGCACCAAUGGAUGUAACGGUGAGAAAGGCAAGGCUACAGGGAAGAGGAUGGAUUUUAGGUUAUAAAGAGAGAAAGGAAGACGAAGACUCUAGGCUUCUUUCUUGCUAAUUGGAAAGGGGGGUUUAAUUUUUCACAUAGGCGGGGUUUUAAUUUUUGGGGAUUUCAUUUCCCGCUCAAAACGCGUGUUUCAUUAAAAAAAUUAUAAAAGCGACACACUUACAUGACACCCAUUUUAUAAUAGGUGUCCUCUGUAUUUCUUUUUCUUUUUCUUUUCAGACACUAAUUUCAGGGCACGUACAAAUGCGUGUCCUCUAUCCUUCAAAUUUUAUAAGAGAUGACAUUAUUUUUUGGACGCACGCUUUUGCGCAUCGUAAAUCACUGCGUGUCAUUGUUUGCGCGUCAUUAAAGGUUGUUUUUCUAGUAGUGAAUGAUUCUCUUUCCUUAUAUGAAAUUUUAUUUUAAAAAAAUGAAAAUUCCUAAAAAAUGACAAGUGGAAAAUAAUAAUUCUAAAACUCCCAUGAAAUUACAAGUGGCAAAACUUUUGAGAAUUUGACAAGUGGCAAAAAAACAUUCAUUUAUUAGAGAGGAUUAUGAACAACAAUAGCUUUAUUGGUAAACUUCCUUGGGAAUUAGGGAAUCUACAAGUUUUGGAAGUCAUAGAUUUGGGUGACAAUAAACUCGGUGGAAAUAUUCCCAAAUGUAUCGGGAAAAAACUUACAUAUUUGGUAGUUUUGAGGUUCAACAAAAACAACUUCACUGGUAGAAUUCCUUGAUCUCUUUGCAAAGAUGGGAUCUUGAUUUCAAUGUACAACGUCCAAAAGCUUACCUUGAACUUGGCUGGGUAAUCAAUUCAAUUAUGGAUAAUAUUAUGUUCUUCCCUUUCUGAAGUAAAUUCGUGAUUUUUCUUCACGAAAAUCAUUUGAUUUUGGAAUAACUAACAAAUUAGCAAAUGGGUGCUGUUUUACAAGAAGCAAUCGGUCAUUACAAGGCCCUUAUGACCCAAUUAACAUCAUGAAGAACUAGGUAAGUAUUGUAUACUAAUUCUUGUAAAAAAAGCAUGGUGGUUGUUUUGUGAAUCCAACCAUGAAGUUUGAAAAUUUCCAUUUUUCAAUCAAUAAUUGGUACUAUAUUCAUCUUUAUGAAGGUGCUUCAACGCCGAUGAUUACAUCUACUUCAAGGUCCUUGCGAGUUUUUAUGUUCUGUCGAUCUUUUACUCAGAUACAUAAACCGACAUACUGGUGUUUAUCGGUAAUGAAUUUUUAGGUUGAUGUUAAUUGUAUCAUGAGUAAACCAUAAUAUGCUCAAUAACUUGCAAUUAUUGAUGAAAUAAUCAUGCAUUGAUUGGCUUGAUUCUUUGUUUUGCAGCUUCUCGAUAUGUGUGUGAAUGCUAACUCAGGUUAUUCCUUCAUUUGAUAAACCUAGUGUGUUUAGUCUUAAAGAGAAAUAUUAUAUACUCACUCAGGUGAUGCCUUCAUUUCAUCUUAUGACUUAUAUUUCAUCUCACAUCUGUUUUAAGGUUGCUAGAAGUUACAUUUCUGGUAUAAAGGGUGUCCCUGGUUGUACUUGCAUACUUUGUUAGUCAGUAUUAGAUACACACCAUAUAUAGGUUAUGUUGUAAUUUAGUUGCUACCUACAGUCAAAGUCAAACCAUUCUUGUUCCAUUCAUAUAUGUUUUUUUACAAUUAAGUUUCAUCACGUGCAUUGUAGCAAUUAUUCUAAUAAACAUUUAUGGGUUGUGUUCUUUAAUGCUUGCAGAUCUCGAAGUGGUGGUUCGAUGGACUCACAAAGUGGGAAACGAAAGGAAGAACAAACGAAGAGACCGAUAAGGGUAACAAAGUGGGCGUGAUAAACUCAUUAGGACAUCGCUUUAUUUAUAUAAGGGGGUGUCCAAUCUUGGGGAACAAGGGUUGACUGUGGACCAGAGUCAAUUGCCACAUCAGCUGUGACUAGGCAGCCACCUCACCGUUUUUUUUUACUGAUUUGUCAUAGAAACUUUUUAUUACAGGUCAAGGGACCAUUUCAACUGGUCAAUGUAUAUGUCGUUCCCUUAAUGUACAAAAAAGAUUAAUUGGGUGACCUUUUAAAACAAACUUGACAAGUUCGUUAGGAUAACAUGACAUUUUCCCUUUUCCUAUUAACAAAUCCACAAGUUCGUGUAUCUCAUUUCCGACUUAGAUAUAUUGAAAUCAUAAUAUCGGUAUUUAAAUUUACAAUUUCGUGUAUCAUUUCAAGAGAUUGUAAGUAUUAGAUUACACUUUGGAUAAGUUUCAACGUGCUCCCAACCUGUUUGUUUCAUUGUCACUUUAGCCCAACCAAUUUAUCAGUUUUAUUUUAAAAUGUUUGUCAUCUUAUUAUUUAUUAUUAUUAUUAUUAUUAUUAUUUUGCAUAUGAAGGGAAUCAACUUGUGUUUUACCGGUUAAUUUAUGUAACAAACCCAUUAUAACCGGUUAGGUUUGUUAUUUGGCUUUUUUAUUUGGCUAGAAAGUGUUGACAUGUAGCUUCGUCAUUCUAUUGUCUUCCCAUCUAUCAAACUUUCAUCUACAUAUCAAUCAUAUGGCGGUUGGUUUAGUGAUAAACGGAUAACAAUUAUAAAGUCUUCCCAUAUGUGGAGAUAAAGGCAAGAGAAAGGCGCACACAUACACACACAUACACAUUGCUCAGUUUCAUCCCCUGCCUCCCCCAUUACCAAAACUCUAGUGCAUACAGAGAAGAUCAAUGAAGAAGUACUUAGGAAACGCAUACACAGGAGACGCAUGUGUUCAUACACAUCUCUUUCCUUUUCAAUUCAGUUAUUUCUAACAUUUUCCUCAAUUUCUCGAUGCCUUCUUUCGAUUGUGCCUUUUGUCCGUUUAGUUUCUCAUCGAACAUUAUCACUCUAUUUCUAUUUUAGGUAUAAACAAAUUGAGAUUUUCUAUUAGGGAUUCUGAUCAUCAAAUUUUACAGAAAUGUUUUUCGUUCCAUGUUUUAGAGUCCCAUGGAAAUUUAACUUGAAGUUCAAUAUAUAAAAAGAAUCGCUUGAUAUAAAUUAUGUGUUCUUNUUCUGCUCGUUUUUCAGGAUGAAUUUGGGAAUGGUUUCUGGUCAGUGGUCAGCCAACUUCGUGAAAAUUGAUUAUCAUGUUCAGAACCGUCAAAGCACCUCCCAUGUGUGGUACCUGAAGGAGGUCAAUGUCACUACUAGAAAAACAACCUUUUACGACGCUCAUUGCGCGUCGUAAAACACUCAAACGACGCGCAAAUGCGCGUCAAGGAAGGCCCUGUCAUAGCGAGAGACGACACGCUUUUGCGCGUCGUCUAGAGACGACGCGCAUUUACGACGCAUUUAUGACACGCAAUGCGUAUCAUUAAAGCCACUGUCAAUAAAGGCCAUGUCAUAAAUUAAGAUGACACACAUUUUUGCGUAUCGAAACUUUUAUUUUUAUUUUUUUAAAAAAAAUUAUUUAUAGAUUUACGUAAAUUUACUAAUUUUCAAAUUACAUGACACAUUUAAUGUCUCAUAAUAUAAAAUAAAAUCUCAUACACAAAAAACAAAAUAAAUUGCACAAAUUAUAAUAUGUCAUACAAAUGAUCAUUCAAAUGUUAAACAAAAAUAAUACAUUGCUAACAUGGGUUAUGCAUUCCUAUAAAACUAACAACCCACGGUGACCUUAAUCUAGAUUGAGGUCGACUUGGAUCAAUGGCGACAAUUGAACUGUAAGAAAUAUAUAGAUCAAAUUGCUUAACAAGUGAUAAGUAAACAAAUCCAUUAGGAUUUAAUCAAUUUUACUUACUUUGAUCUUAAAACUUCGGGAACUAGAAGACCAAAUUGCUUAAAAAAAUCAGCAAAAGCCUUGUUGGUAGGGUACCUUGUACAACUUAUACGAAUUGCUUCUAGAACCCCCUUCAUGAAGAGUAAACAAAAGAAAAUUCAAAUAUAAUUCAGGAAUCUUUAUAAAAGUUUGAACAUCAUUAUAUGCAGUCUACUCACCCCACAACAUAAUUGAUGAAUGAUGUUGACAUUAUCAAAGAGUAACAUACCAUUUCCUUUUGAAGAUUCCCAGAGAUCCCAUCUCUCUAAUAUUGAUGCCAUCUCUCUAGCACCUGAGUCAAGGGGCAUGUUGACUCUCCCCUGAAAAUUAAAAAAUAUAUAUCAAAAUUUUUAAUACUCUUCACUCUAAAUAAUGUUAAACUGUUACCUUGUUUGAUCUUUUGGAUCGAUUGCUUUCAUGGGUGUGUCCAACAGCAUCUGAUAUAACCUCUUCACUGUAUGAGAAGGUGAAGAAGUGUCCAUGUCAUCUGACAUACCAGAUGAAGCUCUUGAUAAGUAAACUUUACCACUCAUAUCCAAAAAACUUCUCAGGUCCAUAAAUAUUACCUGAUAUGAAUUGACUACUACUUUGAGGCUCGAAGGUUUGAAUCUUCUGGUGCAAGUAGCUUAAACAAUGCCAAAGCUUCCUCAAAUUUUCCGGAUGCUGUCAAUUGUACAAUCUGCAUUUUGAUACAAGAUUUAGGCACUGAUAAAAUUACAUAAAUGGCCAUUGCUCUUGUAAAAUACUUGUAGCAUAAGGCUUCUGAAUAAGACGAGGCUCAUUACUAAUGUGCUCAAUAAGGCGAGGCUCUAAAUUCCUUAACUUCUCUGGAAGUUCACCAUCAGGACCACAUAGUGCAUCCAUGUUGUAAUCAUAGUUAAAAAGAAAGUUAAUAUGAACAAAAGUUACAGAACCAUGUUUGAUUUAAUUUUUUUUUAUUGAAAACAAAAGUUCAUAUGAACAAUAACGCGAGGCUCUAUUAUACGACAUGAACCAUUAGCGUUAGUUGAAUAGCUUCCUUUAGGGACUCCCCAUAACACAGGAUUAUAACUUUUUAUUGAAAAAAAAGAGUAAAUUUUUAAUUUUUAGAACAAAUCAAAUUUUAGAAUCAAGAAUUAAAGAGUAUGAAUUAGAAUUACCCCCAGUUGUAUCCAUCCUCAUUUUAGAAUCAAGAAUUAAAGAGCAUGAAUUAGAAUUACCCCCAGUUGUAUCCAUCCUCAUUUUGGAUGGCUGUGAUGUACUCCUGUUGCUCAGGUGAAUCUGGUGACAGAGAUUUGAGCAUCUCCAUAUCUAAUCUUUUUCAUUGCAAUCCAAACCAUAAAAUCAUACACUGUAAAAUCUGAAUAAUAAGAAAGAAGGAAAUGUAGAGUUUUUCUUACCUACAGACUUCCAAAUUAUGUGUGCGGCCAGCAUCUGAUAAUUUUUUCAAAUGAAGUACACCAGGCGAUUCCUUCAACACAAUAACAUAUAAACUUUAUAGCAUUUUAAAUGUUUAAUAAAAAAGGAUCACAUAUGUUUGAAUUUUGAACAUGGGUAUGAAUUAAAAAACAUACCUGAGAAGUGAAGGCAAGAUAACCUUUCUGGAUCUACUGUAGAGUUGAUAAUGAAANGUAGAGUUGAAAUGAAAGUAAGUUAUACUUGAGCAGGUAUGAAGGACAACGUGACAUGUUGUACAAUCAAACAUUCAACCUGGAUCAAGUUGCAUUCGCUUCAGAAGGUAUUAAAGAUGCUCAGCAAACAGUAUGUGUCACAAUUAUCAAGCAUUUGCUACAAAUAGGAUCAAACAAAGAGCUGAAAGGAUUGAUGAAAACCGUGAAGAUACAAGACAUUGAUGUUAGUAUAAAUAUUAUGAAUCUCUUUCUUUUGAUACUUUGUAAUUACAGACCAUUUAAUCUUGUUUUUAUGUUUAGAAUUUGCAAGAUGAAAUGAUGGACAUGAUGGAUAUAAGCAGUGAGAUACAAGAAUCUCUUGGUAGAAGUUUAGUGUGCCAGAUGAUAUUGAUGAAGAUGAUCUCAUGGGUGGUAAGAACAAAUUCAUUAUUAUUAUUUUUCUUUUUUUAAAUGUUAAUUUCACUUCAUGGAAAUGUUUCAGAACUUGAUGCUUUGGAGGCAGACAUGGGUCAAGAAACUGAAGGUGAAGGGGUACCUUCAUAUACUCAACCUGAUAAUGAGCCCGAUCUGAAUGAAGAACUUAAUAUGCCUUUAGCUCCAAGUGUACAUGCAGUGCCAGUGAAACCAUCAAUCAGAUGACCUCAUUACAAGAUUCUAGAGUAAAAUCACAACAAAUUUCAAGAAUUUUAGAUACCCAAAUUGCUAAAAUUGAGAACUCUUAUGUUUCACAUAUGCAAUCUAACAUCAGAAAUGAAAAACAAGAAGUGCAUUUAAAUACUUCAAGAACAGAUAGAAGAGAAGAAAAACAGGAAAUAAUAAAUUAGAUGACCUUAUUACAAGAAUCUAGAUUGAAAUCGCUACAAACUUCAAGAAUUUUAGAUACCCAAAUUGCUAAAACUGUGAACUCUUCUGUUUCUCAUACAUCUAACAUCAGAAAUGAAAAAAAAGAAUUGGGUAUAUGAUUUUUAACACUAUUGAUUCAAAAAAGUUUUACCUAGUCGAGCAGCAUGCUUAAGCAUCAUCUGUGGUAAUAUCCCUUUCUGCAAGGUUAGCUUCCAAAUUUAACAUCAUUAAUUAGUUAAUUAAUUAAAGGGUAUUUUGGGAAAAUCAUAAAAAAGAUAACCUUUUUUGGUUUUGUGUUACUAGGUUAUGCGUGAUCCAAGCGGAAUGAGUAGAGGUUCUGGUUUUAAAUACUAGGAAUAGGAAUAUCUUUUACAACUUCUUGAUCUUUGGGUAAAGGGGUUUUAGGAGGGCGACCUCGUCUUUUUAUAGGUAUGUCUUUUACAGGUUCAGUGAAUGCAAGAACUGCAUCAGGAUCUGGUCCCACUUCAAAUUCUUCACGAUUGUCUGUUUCUGCCCUUAGUUCUGCAGAAUCCAGGGCACCAUAACAUAAGAUCUGCAAAAUGAUUAGCUUCCUACCUGCAGAAAGGGUAUAAUAGUCCUUUUCCAAGACACUCACAGAAUUAUGGUCAACGGUGGGGAUUUUAACCAUACCAAGUUGUGGAGUAUUAAUGAGGACUUAGCUCUACAGUAUCAGCUUAGCUCUGCCGUAUCAACUUCAGUGUCUUCUGCUUUCUUAAUCAAUGAGGACUUUAAAUAGAUAAUCAAAGUCAACAUCAAUUAUCAAAGAUGUGGUCAACUAUUAAACCAAUAGAUCAAUUAAAACCCUAAACUAAAUAUGCCUCACGUUCAGGGAACUUUGGCAUUUCUGCUAAUAUAUCCAUCAGGGCUGCACCUUUCCUACUCAAUUCAAAAUACUCCACAACCAUUCUCAUUUUUCUGUAGCAUUAAUCACUAUUUGGUAUUAAAAUUCUUGGGAUUUGACCAUGAUCAGAAAAGUCGAUCUUGUUAAGCCUAACACAACAUAAAACUUGCUCGGGUAGUUCUUCAGGAUGUUGUGCCUAAAAAUUAAGAAUCCAAUCAAAUACAUAUAUUCAGCUUAUGAAUCACAACACAAAAUCCAAUUCCAUAUUCAAAAANUCACUCAAUCAACUAACUUGAAUUUCUCCUAUUUGUAGAUGUCAAAGUCUGACAACUAUGGUCAUCCUGAAUCCGUUGGAAAAAGUUUUCCACAUAAAGAUGAUGUUCCACUAUUGGAUUGUAGAAAUGGAAAUCAUGCUUCACUUCCUCCACCUCCUCCUAUUGUUCUCCUUAACCCAUAAUUUCAAAGGUUUGAAAAUUUCAAGCUCACUCAAGCCCUUUUGGUAAGUAAACAUGAAGAAGGAAAGUCAGUGUGUGUGCACACACCUUAGAGAUGAAGUCAUACAUUGAUAGGUUAAGAAUGUUGGGAGUCGUAGUCUGUGAGAAGCUGGUUGUUGUUGGGGUCUUCAAUCGCUUCCUGACUCAUAUAGUGAGUUUGUAAGAGAGUACUAUAUGAUAGACCAUGACGUGACCCUCAUCGAUCUCGCCUAUUUGCUUGUUGUUGAUGAAUCAGCAAUGAUUUGGCACGCUAGAGAAACAAAGUUGAUUGGUGGAUCUGCCUUCCAAACUUCCAUGGAUAUAUGCAAUGGCAAUGAAAGGCAUGCCAUGGUCGAAAAGUUUGAUCAUAAGAGAAAGGCAAAGUCUGAAGUAGUUCAAUGUGUUAUUCCAAAAGAGUCAAUUUGCUUUUAAUGCGAAGAGAAUGGGCAUUGGAGACGAAGUUGCCCUGUUUACCUGAGAGAUCUAAGAGAUGGGAGAGUCAAGACAUUUGGCUCUGCUUCAGAAUCGAAGAAAAGAAAGGAAGCUUAAAGGAAGAAGCGUGCUGAAUCUGAUCGUGAAGAAAUGGAUUUUGAUCGCAUGGAUUCGAAGAUUGGAUUUUUUUGAGCUGCUACUUUAGAGUUACGAUAGAUUGCUAAGAAAUGUAAUAGCAUAGUUUUUCAAUUGAGUUGUGUUGUAAGGACAAAAUUUUCUGCAAUAAAAUAAAGAUUUUGUUUUAUUUAUUUAUCCUUGCAAAGACAUGUAUGAAAAAUUGAUGUUUGUGUAUUUCUAUUAUUAGCAAUGUUGAAAUGGAUGCGAUUCUUAGUUAUGUUAUUUAUGAUAGUGUCAUAAUUUUCUAAGUAAGGAAAGAUUCCCAUCGCCCAAGUUUCAAUUGGACAGAAACUUAGAAUCAUACAACCAGAAUUGUGUGAUGUAUGGAAAUCUUGGUACUUAGGUAAUUAAGACUAAUUCCUUGUUCACAUAAGUAUGUGAGUCAAGUGAAGGACUAAAGAAACUAAUACACAAUGUUGUGCACUAGUCAAGUCCACCAUAAAUAAUAAUAACAUUAUUCAUCAUGAUUUAAUAAAGGUCUAGUAAAUGUGGUUAUACUUACAAGAUUAAGUGUAAUUCUGAAUAAUUGAAAAGUUUCAAUGAAUGACAGAACGAAUGAGUAGAAUCACUGAAGGCAGAAAGAUAAAAAGUUUCUCCAAGAAGGGAGAGUACUUUUGUAUCGGGUUUUUAUGAUCAUCUUAAUGAUUAAGAGUCAUAUCAUAAUUGAUCCUCUAAGGACAUCUUAGUUCCAAAAUCAAGUCUUAGAGUCAUACUCCAAGAAUGUGAAUUGAGUGACACAUUUUAAGAAGGUCUAACACACUUAUCAAAUGUAAAGUAGAAAAAUUGUUUUUCUUGCUCUUACACAUUUGAAAUUGGUAAGUUGUGAUGUCUUGAAGAAGACAAAGACCAACUAAGACCAACUGUGUGUAGUGGUUUGUCUUGAUAUAGACACACACUAAUUCUUGAAUAUUUGUUUUAUCAAGAAAUGUUUCUUAAUAAGAGAAUCUAAUAUGUCAAGAGGUUAGUGGGAGUCUAAAAGAUCUUGAAAAGUUUCAAGAACUAAUCAAGAGUAAACUUGUUAAACACUAGCACACGACUUAAGGAUUUUAACCUAUCGUGUUGACGUAUUCUUGUUUCUAUGUCAAUCCAUUUGAAUUGAUUAUACAUAUGAGUUCUACGUGUUCUCAAUAGGUUGCAUAAGGGCAAACACAUUGUUCAAUGAAAGUACAUUGACUAGCAUAGGUGAGCUGCUAAAUAACUUGGAAGCAAUGGUGGGAUCCUUGAUGGCAAGAAAUUAAGUAUGAACAGGUUAUGUCUAUAAGAGUUUGGAUUUGUCACAAACAUUAUCUUGUGACUAUGGUUAUGACAAAUUCACAUGGAUAGGAACACAUGCACCAUAAAAUCUAAGUGUCAUAAGGUUUCUCUCCUUCAUGAAAAUGAUUAUGAGGAAACGCUUUCACUAAGAGAGAUUUUAAGAGGAUAACGAUUAUGUAUGUUGAAUUCUCAAAUUCGAUUAUGAUUACGAAAUCCCUCUUCAUAGUUCGAAUUGUGAGAUUUGGCAAUUGGUCUGAACAUUUGGGACUUAGUAAUAUAAGCUCAAAUUAGUUUAGACACACAUGUGAGCUGUCUGAGGAAAGGUGUAUGAGUUUGAGAAGCUUAGAUAAAGGAUUAUCGAAGCACAUCGUAUUGGAAAUAUGAACUUUGGAAGUCAAUAAGUAUUGUCUUCUAGAAGUCUAACUGUUUUCUGAAUACAUGUCAAAGCUAGUAGGAGCAUAAAUGUUAUGCUGGAAAGGAUAUAAUCAUCAUGUUAGUGGGAGCAUGAUUAUUAUUUUAAGUAUUGCAAGUUGGCAAUAUUAAUUAUAGAAAAACAAAAGUUUCACUUUGCAAAGUUACAGGGGUUGAAAAGUUGUUUUUGCUAUAAUUAAGGGAGAGAAUGUUAUACUUCUUUUUCCAAUCUAAAAGCUUAGAUCGAGAAAUUUUAAUUGAAUUUAGUCAAGGAUGUAUUUAUUAAUUGCAUUCUCAAAGUUCGAUUAUGAUUACAGCAUCCCUCUUCAUAGUUCGAAUUUUGAGAACACAACUAGAAAUAUUAUGACAAUAUUAUAAUAAGAAACUGGUAAUUAUAUACUACAAGAAAAAGACCCUUUUAUGACGCGCAAAACACGACGCCCUUUGAUUUAUGUUNAUUAUGAUUUAUUAAUAUAUUAUACACUACUAGAAAGAAGGCCUUUUACGACGCGCAAAACACAACGCUCUUUGAUUUAUGUUACGCAUUAGAGAGCGACAUUAAAAAAGUGUCAUCUCUUCAAAAAUUUUAAGGAUUUAGGUCGCGCAUUACUGAGUGCCCUUAAAUUAGUGUCUCAUGUAAAAAUAUUAAAAACACGGAAGGCACUUGUGCGUCGUCUGUGAAUGUCAUUUUAUAUUUUUUUUAAGAAACGCGCGUCUCAGAGGGAAAAUGAAAUCCCCAAAUUUUUUAAACCCCCACCUUCUUCUCCCUCGUCUCCACCCCUCAUCCACAUCCACUACCUCCAAUCCUCAUUUCCUCUUCUAGCCUCAAACUACGGCGAUGCACCUUCCUUCUUGAAAAAUGCUUCAUUUACCACCAUCGUCCGAUUAUGUGAACCCAAGGAAUUGAUGGAGACGAAAAAGAUUAUGGAUCAAUUGCUUCACAUCAUGUUUAAGGUUAAGGGUUUGAGAUUUCUUCCAAAUCGACCCUCACACUAAAUGGUUCGAUCUCCUCUCUUUUUACCUUGUUCCCUCUACUAAUGCCUCCACCUUCUACCAUCGAUGUUGAUCUUUGAAUUAGCAACAAGAAGCCCUAAGGCCUCCGCCUUCACCCACCUCCAGCGCCUCCAACAAGAAGCCCUAGCUCCCCUGCCUUCACCCACGUUCUCACAGUCGAUUGUAAAUCGGUUUUGAUGUUCUUCCAAGAUUCAUGGCUUACACAUCUCUCAAUUCUCUUUCUGUUGGUGGAUUUGCUCUUUUUUGCUCUCGAUCGAGGGUUUUUUUGGCUUCAGGUCUCAGAUUUCUUUUAGGCCUUCUUCAACUGUACUCAUGCAUAAAUUCUUUGGUAAGGGUUUUUAAUCGCUCUUUAAUUUCGAUUCUUUGUUGUUUCCGUUAGUUAGUUUGCUUAUUUUCUAUUCAAUUUUCGUUAUUUAGUUGUUUUAUUAGGGUUUUUUGGGCUUUAGGUAUCGGAUUUCUUCUGUCACCAUGUCGAUGUGUACUCCCCUCCUCGAUGGUGACACCUAAUCAAGAAGCAAUCGAUACAUUCAUGAGCAUCACCGGUUCAUCUAAAUCGGUUGCUAUAUAGAAACUCACGGUAAUUACGCCAAAUCUUCAUCUAAAUCGCAUCACUGUUCAUAUAGCUUUUGUUUUCCUCUUCCUUCUUGAUUAACUGUUAUCGUUUAUUUGAUUUAUUCUGGUACAUAUUAACAGUGUUAAUUCAUGCUUAUAUGUUAUAUUGAGCUUGAUUUUGAUAUUAUAAUAGAAUAUAGGGGUUAGUUUUUUACUAUUCCAUAAUUUUUUGUUUGAUUCGAAUAAACUAAUUCCAUACAGAUGUAAUUUUGAUUUACUAUGUUAUCGUAGAAAGGGCUAGGGCUUGCUUUCAAAAAUUAGUACUUAUAUACACAAAAGUGGUAGGGUUUUCUAUCAUAUCAAAUCUACGAACAUUACUUGUUAUGAAGUUCAAUCAAGGUAGCGAUUUUUUGUUGGUACGUGUUUGUAAGCAAUUUGUUUGGCAUUAAAAAGUUCAACAAGUGAGAUUAUUUCAAAAUGGUCUAAUUUUGAAUUUGCUUUCUUGAUGAUUUGUUGCUUUGAGUAUUUUUGCUUCAUGUUUUCUUGGAUUUAAUUUUGUAAAUUUCAAAGUUUACUAAGAUAUUUUCUAUCUAUAUUUCUGUCAGGAGCAUGGUGGAGAUCUUAAUGUAGCUGUUAAUGCACAUUUCACAGAAGGAGAUAGAAACAUCUUACUUUCUUACAUAUAUUUCACUUAUGUUGUUAUAGAAGACAGACAACCUCCAUUGCUGCCCCACCUGAGGAUUUCAUGGACAUAGAUGAUCCAACUAUUCCACCUCAGAGACCUCUUCUCUCCCUCUUUCCUUCUGCUAGAGAUAUCAACAUGAACCUAUUCUCUCUUCUUGAUCCAAACUUCACAAGAAGUAUGUUUGAUAGUGGGCCAAGGUUCAGGGGUAGUGAACCAUUUUUGUCUCAUCCAAGAGAACUAAGACAUAUUCCAGUUGAGGUCGUGGAUGGGCCAAGUACAUAAUCAAAUCAUUCCGGACAUGAUCCAUGAAUUGAAGAUGUCACAGAAACAACAACAAAAAAUGUCCCAGAAACCCGUGCACAUGAGAUAGCGGGUAGGUAUCAUGUUACAGAGUAUCUUAUUGUCUUAUUAAUCUUUAUUGUCUUCUCUUGCAUCUAAAAUUACCAUUUUACCCUUGAUUUUUGUUUUUUCUCAGAACUGGAUUUGAGGAGGACAAGAAUUUCCAUGUAGUUUUAAAUUAUGUGAUAGCUGGUAAGUAUCAUGUUACAGAGUAUCUUGGUUCUGCUGCAUUCAACAAAGCUAUUCAAGCACAUGAUCUUCACACUGGAAUGGAUGUGUGUGUGAAAAUAAUAAAAAAACAACAAACUCUUUUAACCAGAGUCUUAAUGAGAUAAAGCUUCGAAAAUAUAUCAACAAAAAUGAUCCCAGUGACAAAUAUCACCUUCUCAUACUUUAUGAUUACUUUUACUACCGAGUAAGUCAAAUUCAUAACUUUUUUUUUUAAUUUAAUUUUCCCUUUUUGUAUUAUUAACUUGUUUAUAAUAAAUACUUUUAGGAGCAUUUAUUAAUCGUUUAUGAACUUCUCAAGGCAAACUUAUUUGAAAUGAAAACAAAAUUUGAAUGUUUUCUCUUAAAAACAAGACAAGUCUUUGUGUGCUCGUUAUAUAGUUGCUAAUCAAUUGUACGAACUAUGUGAAGGUCUGGGCCCUGAACCCACCAAGUAUGUUCAAUUUUCAAAUCCAAAACAGUUUCUUUUCUUUUUUAUUUUUCUAUUUUCUUUUUCUAUUUUCAUUUUUUAACAUUUUCCAUCUAAAUUAUAACAGGGGUGAGUUAGUUCCAGCAUACGCUGAGGCUACUUUGUGAUAAUGAAGCUGAAGUACGUAUUGCAACUGCUGAAAAAGUCACCCAAUUUUGUCGUAUUCUUUCCCCACAACUUGCAAUUCAACAUAUUCUUUCAUUUGUAAAGGUACAAUCUUUAAUAAAAAAACAUGGUAUCUUACAUUUAUAUUUCUUGUUUUUUUUUCGUUUUUUUUCAUUUUUUUUUCAGGAUACCAGGAGAGAUUCUACUUCAAUCCAGGUGACAUUGGCUUCAAGGUCCGUUUUUUAUACAAUCAUACCCAUGUUUCAUAUUAAAUCGGCACUUUGACUUUUCAAUGUAAGGGUAAGAUAGUCAUUUAGUCUUUUGAUAAUUUAUAUUUUAUUGUGCAGGUGUUCCAAACCAAGUUUGCUAAGAUAAGCAUGGGUAUGAAUUUCUCAAUCCUUUUACCUAAUUGCUCUCCUCCCAACACGUUAAAAUUAAUGAAUGUUUUGAUUUUUUUUUGGCACUAACACUUGGAUGAUGCUUACUUUGACUUGCUGUUGGAGAGGGUAGUGGAGUGGGCUUGCUGAGUGUUGAUUGUGUGUUUGAUGGAUGAAUUGGUCCUGAUUUGUGGCUGGAUACUAAAGGUGAUGAAUGCCACAAAUUAUUCUCAUUAUUGUUUGUUUUUUUAUGUUAGUGUUGCGAGAACAUAUGUAUUUAGCUUUCAAGGAGAUGACUGCCUCAUCUGUCGUGGGUCACGCUCCAUAUUACUGCUUGCAGCAGAAGCAGAAAACGGUGCUGAUUUGUUUCUUUCUACUUAGUAUUUCUUACUGGUUGUGAACAAGCCUCUCAUCUCACAUUUGAGUUUAUAGGAAUCAACAAUCACUAUGAAACUUCUAGUGUUUAGAUUUCUUACUGGUUGUGAACAUUUGUUUCUUCCCUUUCUACCCUUCACUUGCAGGUUGAUGAUUUGUCAAGAAUGUUCAGACUAUUUUCCAAAAAUACCCCAUGGAUUGGAUCCUGUCUCUAGUAUGUUUAAAAAGGUUUGUGAUUUAGAAGCUUUGGAGGAAACGAGACUCAAGCAAAAGUAAACACACAGAGAGUUGUUGGCACAUAGUAAGCUAGAUAAUGCAAUUGUAUAUAAAUGAGUUCAUUUUUUUUAUAACAUUUACUCACUAUUGGAAUAAUUAUUUGUAUUUGACAUAUUAGUGAAAUGAAUUAUCUUUCUUAUUUAUGGUAUUUUAUUUUGUAUUAUGAGAUUUUUAAUGCAUUAUUUAAAUUGAAAAUUAGUAAAUCUAUAAAUAAUAUUUUUUUAAACAUUUAAGAUUAUGAUACGCAAAAAUGUGUGUCAUCUUCAUUUAUGACAUUGCCUUUCUUGACAGGGGCUUUCUUGAUACGCAUUGCGUGUCAUUAACACGCGCGUCGUAAGGUUAUGACACGCGAAUGCGUGUCGUCUUCCUUUAUGACAGGGCCUUCCUUGAUACGCAUUGCGUGUCGUAAACGCGCGUCGUAAAUGCGCGUCGUAAAUGAGCGUCGUAAAUGCGCGUCGUCUAUAGACGACGCGCAAAAGCGCGUCAUCUCUCUUUAUAACAGGGCCUUCCUUGACGCGCAUUUGCGCGUCGUCUGAGCCUUUUACGACGCGCAAUGAGCGUCGUAAAAGGCUGUUUUUCUAGUAAAAGUAUCACGUUUUUCCAUUAUGAAUUGUAUUCCAUACGCUUCGGGUAUAGGAUGGAUUGCAUAUGCUGUAAUAUUUGACCGUUCUAAAAUUUUCCAAAUGCCUAGGGCAUUUAGAGGGAAAAAGGGAAUAGAACCGGUUUUGACUAAAAUAAUUAAACAACGGUCAAGGACAAUCUAAGGUUCGCCAAAGAUUGGUCGCUUGUGGACAAUUGGAAGUAUAGUCAUGGAUGGACCAUAUUGACAUUAUUAUGAAUAGAUAAGAUUCUAUUUAGAAUAAGUUGUCAUAUUGCAAAUAUGGAAAUGUUUCCAUAUUCGAAGUUGGAUAUCGAGAAUCAAUGUCUAGAUUAGAAACUUUUAUGCAAGAAGGAUGUUCAGAGGAAUGUACUUUGAAUGUGAGACUUCAUGACUAUGAAAUUGUCUUGUAACAAUAUCCAAUAUAGCACUUUGUAAUUUCAUUGGCAAAGUCUUGGUGACUUUGGCACUGUGAUAUUACGAAAGGAUCGUUGCAUAAAAUGUUAGAAUCUAACAUAUUCUAGUAGCGGCGAGAAUUUUGUAUUCUUACACUAAUGGAUUAGGAAUUGUGAAAUAAGCAUCAUUGGAAAUGUGUUAAUUUGAUCUAUUUCACAAAAUAAGGACCAUAGGUAAACAUAGUGUGCAUGCUAAGAGCAAAGGACAAUUGUUGUUAUCAUUCAAGUAAGAAGUUGAUUACCUGAAACAACAAAUAAUGAGUAAUCAAUAUGGUGAUUAAAUAAAAUGUUUUAUUUAUACUCAAAGGUUUGGGACCAUAUAAGAUUAGUAUUAUUCUUGUGUUUCACUUUGCAUGUUUUGACUUCUCGGAUAAUAAGAUUAUUCAAAUCCUCCACAGUCGCUUAUACUUUGGAAGUAGGUAUGAAUGAAGACUGUUAUGAACCCGUCUGUAGAUUGUCUAAAGUGUUUAGACAUAGCACAAGUUUGCUGUAGAUUUCAUGAGUGCUGCUAUAAGAUUAGAGUAUUGGAUUAAACCCACGCUCACUAGGAACGCUUCAUGGUUUUUAUAACGAGUGAUUGGUGAGACGAUAAUAUCUUAUAUUCUUGAAACCGAGAUGUGUAAGUUGUAUCUUGUGAGUUGGUUACACAUUGAUAAUAUGUAAACGCACCAGUAACUUGGUGUUAUAAAACGUAUUGUUGUGUGUGAUUCGGUGAGUGAGUACAAGCGAGCAUUGAGUCGAAGUUUAUCCGUUCCUUUUACCCAAAGUGGGAUAAAAAUCAUAUCUGUGGGCCCCUUGAUGAUUUAGUGAUGACACCUUAAGUGCUUGGCUAAGCCGGGACUAAGUUGAUGUGUUCAAUUGUAGUCCGUUGUCAGUCGUCAUAAAUCGGAAAUCGGGAAACAACACGUGAAUAGAGAGUAUCAUUAAAAUUCAUGUCUCGGUUCAUACGAUAUCUAGAAUGGAGGAAUAAAUGAUCCUUUAUCUAAAGGACAAGUUGCUGAUAAGAUCAAAGUUCGACAACGGCUUUGAGAGCUACGAUUGCUAAUCGGAUUGUACUUACAUUAUAGUUACUAGACUUAUCCAAGUGGGAGAAUGUUGGAUUAGUGUCUAAGCCCGUAACUAUAUUCGGUAUGUACUUGACCCGGUUGUGCAUGGUCCUUUUGGGUUGCCUUCACCAAAGCAACUUGAUAGCUAGGAUGAUUUAUGGAGAAAAAGGAUUAAUUAUGAUUUAUUAAUAUAUUAUAUGAAUAAUAUAUUAAAGGAGAAAUCAUAUUAUUUAAUUUUAUAUUAGUCAAGAAUUAAUUAAGAAUUAGUUUUGUGACUAAAAGACAUUAAUUAAACUUAGGGGACUGAAAUUGUAAUUAUAAGAUAGUUGCAAUUGGGCGAUGGAUCACCUUGGAACAUAGGUUGGGCGAAUUCUAAGGGAAGCCCAUAAGGAAUUCAUCCAAGGGUGUUCUAAAGGGAGUCCAUGGGCUAGAAUGUUUUUGGUGAACUCUUUUGUUAGAACCCAAAAACGUGGUGAACUCUUUUGGAAGAGCCCUAGGACGUUUUUGGUGAUCCUCCUCUUUCUCAUAAGUCAUUCUCUUGCUCUUGGUGUUUGUAAACCAUUAGAGGAGUGACAUUUGUGACAAUAAGCUCCAAUGAAAGAAGAUUGAAGAGAUUCAAGCCAUUCUAUAAGAGGUAAUCAUCUAGAUCUGUUCAUAUAUGUCAAUUUUGGAAUUAGUAUGCUAGAUCUAGGGUUUAUAAGGUCUUGGAUGAAUUGCAUGUACAAUAGAGAAACCUAGAUCCAAGCUUUAGGGUUUGCAUGAGCACAUAGGAUGUUCUUUUGUAUAAACCCAUCAUCAUGUACUUCUGGUUCUAAGGGGAAGAGCUCAGGAUGACUACAUCGCACACGCUAUUGGGAUUCUGUUAUGAUGUUUUACUAUGAUUUAUGACAAAUUUGAUACAUUGGUUUAUUUCAAAUGUUUGGAUGAUAUGGAAAUUUACUAUUUUAUCUAAUAUUAAAUUGAGAACUUUUGGGACCAUAUUUUUAGAUGUUACAAUAUUGGUGUGGUAUAUUGGUAUUCCAGUCCGAUGACUGAGUGGGUUGGUUGUAAUCCAUCCUGAUGGUUAUGGAUCCAAGGGUAUUCGAGUCUGAUGACUGAGUAGACCCGUUGUAUAUUAGCAUUCCAAUCCGAUGACUGAUUAGGUCGGGGGUAAUCUAGCCCGAUGGCUGUGGACCCGAGGGUAUUCCAGUCAUCGGACUGAGUGGACCUGUGGUAUAUUGGUAUUCCAGUCCGAUGAAUGAGUGGACUUGUUGUAUAUUGGCAUUCUAGUCCGAUGACUGAUUGAGACAGGGGUAAUCCAACCCGAUGGUUGUGGACCCUUGGGUAUUCCAUUCCGAUGACUAAUUGGACCCAACAUCCUUGUUUGUAUAUGUGUAACAACCCGAAGUUGUUCAACGCCGAAAACCGUUCUACCCGAAAAAUUCGUCGUUUAUCAAAUUCGUUCCGUUUUCGUUUUUGGUUAAGUUAUUUAAACUUAUAUGUUUAUUAUAAUCUAAUGAGUGUCCAAACCCCUUAGGAACUCAUGAAAUUAGCCCAAAAAUAUUUCUUUCAGAAAUUUUAGAAAUAUCCUUGCCGGGUUACGGAAACUUAAUCGGGUGCGACCUAAAGCCCCGUUUAAUGCCGGUAUCGGGUAGAAUUCCACCAUGUCCAAGUUUUGAGACCUAUAUAAACAUGUUUAAACAUUCAUUUGAAGCUUUUUCUUCCUCUCUCUACUCUCUCUCUAACCUCUCUCCUAAAUCUAAGUUCAAGGGUCCAAAACUCAAUUUUAAGGCCUCAAAUCUCUAAGGUACCUUCCUAAACUCAUUGUGUAUCAUAUUGGACCUUCAAAUUCGAGAUUUAUUCAUGAUUUAGAGGCUUAUAUAUGAGUUUACGGCCCAGGAUGGUGCUUAGGCCGUAAACCCAUAUUUAAAGGGUUUUUAAGCCUUAAAGCCCUUCCAAACCACAACUAGACUUUAGAUAUGGCUAAAUGACUUCAUGGAAUGGACUUAGAACACUUUAGACAUGAAUUUUGGGGGAUUUGUAUGAGUUUAUGGCCAAGGCAUGAGCAUGGGCCGUAAACUCCUCAAUUAUGGGUGUAAACUCAUUUUCAAGGUGUUAGAAAGCCAUCCAACACCACCAAAAGCCUUGGAAUAAAUCAUAGGACCAACCAAAAAUAGUUUAAGGGCUUUAAACAUAACAAAACCUCUCAUAUAAGAGUUUACGGCCAUAGAACAUGCUCCAAGGCCGUAAACUCCUAAAACAUGUCAUAUUAUGCCCAAAAAUCAUUUCAAGGCUUGUAGGAAUUUUUAGAAUCACAUGUGAUUAACUUUGGAACAAUAAAAACACACAUUCAAAGGAGUAUGAGAGUUUACAGCCAUAGGCUCCAUGCCAAGGCCGUAAACUCCCUUAAGUGUUGUCAUUUGAUGUUUUAAAUUAAUUCCAAGCCUUAGGAAAAAUUAUUCCAAGCAUUCCCAAGUGAUAUUAGCCAUUUGUGACCCAUUAAGCACCAUAAACCACCCCACCAUGAGUUUACGGCCGUAAACUCAUGGGGAAUGGGUGUUAUAGACCAAAAACUCUUGUAUGAGUUUACUCUUGGGGAGUAAACUCAAAUUCCAAGUCCCUAGUACCAUUACACGUCCGUAGAUGUCACCCGGGUCCCUCCAAACACUUGUAAUGGGGUGUUUCCGCGACUAAAAGUGUUUGUCCCUAACAAUUAAAUAAUCUAAGUCCUAAUUAGAUACAAAUGUGAAUUUUUGCAUUAUACUUAGGAACCUCGUGCGUUUGCAAGCCCCGAACCAACGUUUAGCAUCCUAAAUCGUCACGUUUCUCGUCCAAUGAGUUCAUACCCCUACGCUCUUUCCGUGUUUUUCAAUGUUUUCAGGGGGGAAUACAAGCAAACUAUAACUAUUUUCGAAUUAUAAUAUUGAUAUGUUUCAAAUAAUAUCUGGCAAACUUAUAAACACUUUUACUCCUUAUGUAUUAUGCUGAGCAUAAGGGAUGAUUUAUCAACUACAACUAAAAUGGAUUUUAGUUAAGAAAAUAACCAAACUAAUCAAAUUAUUAUGAGAAUAAUUUGGGGUUCUUUAGUUCUCGUUUAUCAUGUACAGAUAUGUAUAUAAAGUUAUUAGAUAAACUAUGUCUGAUUCAGUUUAUCUCUGUAUCAUUUGAAUGUAUUGCCAGAUAGCUUCAUUGUAUGUAUCUAUAUUCACUGUAUUAUGUUUCAUAAUCUUUUAUAUGUUUGAUAUCGUAUGAGAACCCUGUGAAUAGUUUAGUACUAGUUUGUGAGUUAGUCACUACCCUUUAUGGAUGAUCAGUAAAUCCUCCUCGGAAGUGUAACCAGAGUCUCCUGGAGGGAGAGCGAGGAAUUUGUGAAUAGAUCUAUUCGGGACUGACAAUCCCACACCUUAACUACUAGCUACAGUUAGGCGGGCACGCCUGGGGUGACAAAUUCUGGAUAUCGUCCGACGUCUGACAAGCGUCAAGGAGGUCUCGUUGUCGUAUCAGCAUGGUUACCCGACUCACAAUAUGUAUUAAUAUAAUUUUAUUCACGGUAUCGCUUUGGGUUUGGUUUUGACUUUGAUUCGAUUUCAUAUCUACUUUCUAUCUAUAGUUUCCAUAUCUAGUACGGGAUGGUAGUCCCAUGGUUUUCAGUUUAUUGAACUUGUAUCUAGUGCGGGAUGUUAUUCCUAUGGUUUUCAGUAUGUAUAUAUCUUAUGUCUAGUAUGGGAUGAUAGUCCCAUGAUUUCAAUCUAUAUCUAGUACGGGAUGAUAAUCCCAUGGUUCCGAAUCUAUAACUAGUCCGGGAUGGUAGUCCCAUGAUAUUCAAUCUAUAUUUUCAUGUAUAUCAAACUAUCUUGUAUCUAGUUCGGGAUGUUAGUCCCAAGGUUUUCAAACUACUUUCUAUCUACAGUUCGUGUAUAUUAAAGUAUUUCAUAUCUAAUUCGGGAUAGUAAUCCCAUGAUUUUCAAUAUAUAGUUUUGUGUAUUAAACUAUACUCUGUGUUAUUCAAUCAAUCUUGUAUUUAGGAAAAUAUGGGAUUUUCCUGGGGUUAACAUAUAACGCGUAAUUGAACUGUAAUGAAGGAUAACUAAACUGUUUAACAUAAGAAAAUAUGGGAUUUUCUUGGAUAACAGACCUUUUCGGAAAACUAAAGGAAAUUGGUACAUUUUCAGAAAACAAACAUCUUAUGAACUCACCAGCUUUAUGCUGAUUUUCAAACCGCUUGUAUUCUCAGGUCCAAGUUAGACAGGUACCCGGCGAUAUCUUUUGGUGAAGACGGAGUGCUCAGAAGACUCGUCUCAACUUUUGUUUAUAUGAUAUAUGUAUAAAACUUGUACAAUUUACUUUUGAAACAAAUGUAAAACUUUCAAAUAUAUGUAAUGUAAUGGUUGUUUACUGUGAUUACUAUGUACAUUGGAUUUGAUUCUCAACGUGGAGUCAACCCCGGAAAUGUUUCCGCCUUUGGUUUUCGGGGUGUGACAAUAUGAUAUGUUUAUUGUGUGCUGGUACUUUGGGGGAACUCAGUAAGCAUUGGCUUACAAUUUUAGUUUUGUUUCAGGUACUUAAGAGGAUUGUGGCAAGGCGAAGACAUGACCUUACACAUCCUGAUUUUUAUGUUGUUUAUCUUGGGAGACUCUGUUUUUUGAAUAAUGUUUAAAAACAAUGGUUAUGUAAACAUUUCAUUUAGUAAAUGGGUUGUUUUGAAAAGUUUAAAUUCGUUGUGAUUUUUGAGAUGUUACAUUUGUGUAGGAAACUUAAAUGGCAUGGUUGUGAUCCAUUUAAUGCUUGAGCAUCAUCUAGAUAUCGUUUAUGAUAAGAUUGUGAUUCAGUUCAUAAAAGGUGUUGAUCUCAAAUAUACAACAACUUGGAGAAUGGUUUAUAACAUGGACCUUUCAAGCAAUAAACUUAAGGGAGAAAUAUUGGUCAAGCUAACUACACUUUCUACGUUGGUAGGUUUGAAUUUGUCUAAUAAUCAUCUGAGUGGGGGUAUACCAGACAACAUUGGAAACAUGACACAGUUAUUUUCUCUUGGUUUCUCAAAAAACAAGUUGAACGGGAGGAUCCCUUCGAUCAUGGCAUCUUUGAACUUUUUAAGCCAUUUGAAUUUGUCAAACAACAUGUCAGGACAAAUUCUGAUAGGAAAUCAACUGCAGACACUUACCGGUCCAUCAAUAUAUGUUGGGAACAAACAUCUAUGUGGACCUCCAUUGCCAAACAGUUGCUCAAAUCAUCAAGAUCCAACAACAACAAGCAAGAAGAAACACAAAGUAGCUAAGCAAACCAAAAUAUGGUUGCUUUAUGUGGACAUAAUGAGUGGUUUUGCAACAGGGUUUUUUGUGUCAUUCAAGUUUUUGUAAGUUUCUAUUUUAGCCCCUAAUGCAAAUUUCUUUCAAAAUUAGUCCAUUGGUUAGUACAUGGGGCGUACUCAAUGGGUACACUUAGCGUACUAGCCAUAAAAGUGGUCGUGGGACUUAACCACGUACGCAGGGCGUACGUAAGGCUGAGACAAACCAUAAUAUUUAGGGUUUUCACCCUAUUUAAACCUCAUUAUAGCCUCAUUUGGAAAUGUUAACCGGCCUACACCUCUCCUUGUCCUAGAAAACGAAACCCUUGAGUGUUUUGGUGAGUUUUUAGUUUGACAAAGAGAUUUUGGUGUCUUAAGGUGAAGAAGAAGAAGAGGAGCACUUGAGCAGAUUGUUUGAGCUUGUGGAUCCAGGAUCACCUCCACAUUGGAAGCUUUUUGAGGUAAAUUUAAACAUUAUAAGAACCUUUUGUCCUAAAUUAAAUACAAAUGUAGCUAAAAAUACUAAGAUAAUGCAAAAAAAUAUAUAUGAAUAAAUAUAGCAAUAUCAUCCAUGUGUAUCACGAAUUAAUCCAAAGCCUAUCCCAUACACAUGUACCUACUACAUCUUUCCUUUUACAUUGACCAUUCUCCACAUGAGUUCUUGAAAGUAUUGCAAUAUACAUGUAUGUACCUAAUGCAUCUUUUCUUGUACGUUUCCAUUAUUGUUUAAGACCUCCGAUAUAACAAAAUCACCGGGAUACUCUUCUAGAAUUUCAAGAUUGAUGGCCCUGCAAUGAGCUUCUACCAACCUUUGGCUGGUCCAAUGGUCACUAUAUCUGCAUGACAAUACUUUUUAAUAUUUCCGAUCAUAACGAAUGGAUCAACGUCCCCAGUCACCGUCAUUUUCUUUUCAUUCAUGUCAAAAGCUAUGGACUCAAUCCCUGUAUAUAUUUCAAAACAAAGUUUAGUCGAACAUAUGGUACUCAAGUGAAAAUACAGGAAAAACAAAACAAACAUAAUAUUAACCUGAAAGGAUGGAAACUGCCUUCAUAACCUUCAGUUUUUCUUUAUGAUCGUGUACAUCCACUUUGACAACAACUUUCUGCAAUGGAAUACAAAUUAAUUACAACCAACCAUGAAAGUUAAACUCGAGAAUGAAUUUAAAUGAGGCUAAAACGAGUAAGUUUGGUUUUAUUUGGGAACAUGGUUUUAGGCUUUCUUCUGCAGAUAUAGACAACAUGUUCUCAUCUGUAAUAGAUAGGUUCAGAAGCAAUUCUAUUUACCUCUCCUAAUUUUUUACUUCAGUUUUUGGACCAUAGGUAUAUGAUCCCACAAGUCAACAAGUUUUUUUUUUUUUUUUUAUGAAAUCUCCAAUUGAAUAUGUAGAGAAUUAAUUCACAAAAGUAUUAUAUGUUGGAAUGUUAUGUGACAAAAGUCUUUUUCUUUUUGAAGUAUUUAUGCAGUUUCUGUAAAAAAUCAAUUUUCAGAAAAACAAUUUAAUAAUUUUUAUAAUUAUCUGAAUUCAUUGUCAUUAAAUUAUAAAUGAAGCAGAUAACUACUUAUAUUAUGAAAGUAGGGACAUUUUGUCAUUUACCAUAAAUAAAUGUCAAAUCCUUUGAAAGAUUUACAAACCAGAUCCAAAUGAAUGGACUUCAGUUCUAUUCCAAAUCCUGAGGGUGUCCAAGAAAACUAACCAAACCAAAAACCAAGUAACCAAAAAUAAAAUAAAAUAAAAUAAAAUAAAAACGUAUUCAUUUGGAAAAACCGGCGGUUGGUAAGAUUUGGAACCUCUAAUGUGUUUGGUUGGUUGGAUUUGAAAGAUCCUACCAACCAAACACAAAUCCGUCAUCCUUCCGGUACCAAAUCACUUGACAAGUUCUGAAUCCCGCAACACAAACACCGCUUAAGAAGUUAAAUGAUGGUGGAAGAAACUGCUAACAGGAAAUAAGCCUUAAAAAAAAAAAAAAAAAAAAAACACUACAAUAGUAGGCAAAGCAGCAGGGAAAUGGAGGCAAUUCCAUAAUGGUCAAAUAUAAGGGAAUACUGAGAAAACCAAAAACUUGUGAACAUCUCACUACAUUAUUGAGACUAAAGUGAUUCAUCUACCAUUUACCUAAUCAUAAUGGUAGAAUCAAGGGAUUAGUGGGAAACAGAUGGAAAUGUCAUUUUGUAGACUUCAGUUUUCACUUUUCAAAAAAGUACAUGUUACCGCUGAUUAUUAAAUGAGAACAUGCAAAAGAAUAAGUUUCCUACAGACCUGUAGGUAGUAGUAAGGCCGCCAUAAGAUCUCGACGGAAGACUUUGAAUCAUGUGGUCGGAUUGUAAAUGUGUUUGAACCAUCUUCAUUUUCCUUGUCCCAAAAUAAUUCUGAGCAAUCUGUUGUUUUCACCUCAUCCCCUUUACUUACCCUACGAACGAGCUGACCUCCGACAUAACUCUUAGCUGCUAGCCCACUCCGAUGCUGCUCUCCGUCAAUGGAAAAUGAUAUACUAUUGUAUGAAGAAUUCAACAGUGUUGUGUGCCUCAGUGAACUAAAGGAAACAUAUCCUACGAUUGACACACGUCCAACAUAUUCAGGAUCUGCUAGUGCUUCCCUAGACCCCUGCCAAGGCGCACAUAGAGUAUCUUCAUCUACCUCCUGCCUGAUGAUUAUAUUUAUACGCUGAUGUCUUACUUUGGUAACAAUGCAUAUUAAGAACCCACAAAAGUCUUUGUACCAAUCAUAUGGAAGACGCCGUGUAAAUGUUGUCCCCCUAAACAGCCUACCUACAAACCCCCUUGGAAUCAUCUGAUGAUCAAGCGUGACACUGAUAAAGUGAUCUUCAAGAGCAUGUCCCUGCCAUGGAAAACACAUUCAAUUAUUCUUCUUUAUGGGUUUUAUAUGAAGAGUGAAAUUCCAAAAACAUAAAGAUAAAGCAAACCUGGAGCAUGGAGUGUAGUAAUAUGUUACAAACAAGUGCACCAAGAUUGUUCGGCCCCCAAAGUGAAACCUUCCACAACCAUAUACAGUUUGAAGUAUCUCCAAAGCUUUCAAGUGAGCUACAACCAUCCGCUAUAACAACAGCUAUACUUGAUGGCAGAUCUGACAAUUCUACAAGGCCUGUGCACCAUGACACAUCCAGCCAUUUGAGCCGAGGAAGUCGCCAGCGACUAAAACUUAAUCGUGAAAACUUAUUUCCUUUUAGAUUGAGUUCUUCCAAGUUGGGAAACUCCCAAACAGCAGAGUCAAUGUCUUCAUCUCCCAGACUGCAGUACCGGAGAUUUAACUUUCUUAAGCCUCUGGGAAAAAACCGUAACACUGUAUUGUUGUUGCGAGGUAAACAAGGCUCCUCUAAACAACAUUCUUCUACAUCAACCAGGUCCUCUGCUGGGUUUUUAAUUUCUGUGUCACCACCACAUGUCCAACAAGUAACAACAAAGUUUGAAGAAUACUUUUUGUAGGAUGCAACUUCUUUCCCACUAAUAUUCGAAUGAAGAUGCAGUAGACUGCUCCUUUUGUGUUGGAUCCCCAAGAGCUUAAAAAGUUUGGGGCAAUCUGAUAAUGAAAGGGUCUCGAGUUUCUUUAGUCGCUUAAUGGGUGGAGAUAUCUUAAGAGCGGAACAAAAUUCUACAGAUAGGAAAACAAGCCUUUCCAACUGUCCAAUUGAUGGCUGAAUCUUUUUUAAACGCCGGCAUCCACGAAGAAUGAGUCUUUCAAGAUUUGGAAUUUCACCAAAAUCUGGUGUCAUGAUUAGGUUAUUCAAUCUAACAAGUUCCAAGAUUUUCAGAUUUGGCAGAUUCUGUUGCAUAAAAGUGCAAACAAGUNAAGAGCGGAACAAAAUUCUACAGACAGGAAAACAAGCCUUUCCAACUGUCCAAUUGAUGGCUGAAUCUUUUUUAAACGCCGGCAUCCACGAAGAAUGAGUCUUUCAAGAUUUGGAAUUUCACCAAAAUCUGGUGUCAUGAUUAGGUUAUUCAAUCUAACAAGUUCCAAGAUUUUCAGAUUUGGCAGAUUCUGUUGCAUAAAAGUGCAAACAAGUCAGUAUAUCAAGGUAAUAAGAAUUUAAAGUAAAAUUCAAAAUUAUAUACACGUGAAACAAGUCAAAACAUAUGAAUUAUAUAUUAGAAAAAAAAGUAUAAUAUUUGCAAAGUUUGGAAUUCAGGCGGUCCCCCAUUAAAAAUACAUAAAGCUGGGACUAAACCAUUCGACCAGCUAUUUAUUUGGUUUCACCGGAAAAUCAAAGAACAACGUAAUCCAAAUAACCAGUUUUAACAAAUGAACUGGACACGUUAUUUAGUUGACCUGAAUCGUGAACACCUCUAACUUGAAGAAGGGAGAUUCCUAUUUGACAUGAUGUGGAUUUUUUUAAACAACCCUUUAAUAUGACAGGUCUUUUUGGUCGUGUUUAUCAGCACCACAAAUAUGUUGGUGAUUUGUAUUACCAAUGCGUAUUUAAGUGUAAUUGAUUAAUUAGUUGACCAAAUACAAUCUUGAUGAACAUUAAACAAGUAAGGGAGGUGCGGAAUGCACACUUGUUUGAGUUUGUUCAAGAUUCAAAGUACAUUGUCAUUUAGGGGCGAAGCACUAAAUGAACGGGAGUCCGGGGGCAGCGCCCCUGGUAGCGGGCUCCAAGCCCCUGUCUGGGGUCAAGCUGGAAAUUUUUUAUUUGGGUGCACGAGGAACAAAUGUCCAAGUACCAUUCUUGAGUAGUGUUGCAUAUUCAUCAGCAAUGGCUUGUUGCCAAUGAGGUUGUUUAACAGNNNNNNNNNNNNNNNNNNNNNNNNNNNNNNNNNNNNNNNNNNNNNNNNNNNNNNNNNNNNNNNNNNNNNNNNNNNNNNNNNNNNNNNNNNNNNNNNNNNNUUUGGGACAAGGAAAAUGAAGAUGGUUCAAACACAUUUACAAUCCAACCACAUGAUUCAAAGUCUUCUGUCGAGAUCUUAUGGCGGCCUUACUACUACCUACAGGUCUGUAGGAAACUUAUUCUUUUGCAUGUUCUCAUUUAUUAAUCAGCGGUAACAUGUACUUUUUUGAAAAGUGAAAACUGAAGUCUACAAAAUGACAUUUCCAUCGUUUCCCACUAAUCCCUUGAUUCUACCAUUAUGAUUAGGUAAAUGGUAGAGGAAUCACUUUAGUCUCAAUAAUGUAGUGAGAUGUUCACAAGUUUUUGGUUUUCUCAGUAUUCCCUUAUAUUUGACCAUUAUGGAAUUGCCUCCAUUUCCCUGCUGCUUUGCUUACUAUUGUAGUGUGGUUUUUUUUUUUUUUUUUUUUUUUUUUUUUUUUUUUUUUUUUUUUUUUUUUUUUUUUUUUUUUUUUUUUUUNGGUGUUUGUGUUGCGGGAUUCAGAACUUGUCAAGUGAUUUGGUACCGGAAGGAUGAAGGAUUUGUGUUUGGUUGGUAGGAUCUUUCAAAUCCAACCAACCAAACACAUUAGAGGUUCCAAAUCUUACCAACCGCCAGUUUUUCCAAAUAAAUACGUUUUUAUUUUAUUUUAUUUUUUUUAUUUUUGGUUACUUGGUUUUUGGUUUGGUUAGUUUUCUUGGACACCCUCAGGAUUUGGAAUAGAACUGAAGUCCAUUCAUUUGGAUCUGGUUUGUAAAUCUUUCAAAGGAUUUGACAUUUAUUUAUGGUAAAUGACAAAAUUGCCCUACUUUCAUAAUAUAAGUAGUUAUCUGCUUCAUUUAUAAUUUAAUGACAAUGAAUUCAGAUAAUUAUAAAAAUUAUUAAAUUGUUUUUCUGAAAAUUGAUUUUUUUACAGAAACUGCAUAAAUACUUCAAAAAGAAAAAGACUUUUGUCACAUAACAUUCCAACAUAUAAUACUUUUGUGAAUUAAUUCUCUACAUAUUCAAUUGGAGAUUUCAUAAAAAAAAAAACUUGUUGACUUGUGGGAUCAUAUACCUAUGGUCCAAAAACUGAAGUAAAAAAUUAGGAGAGGUAAAUAGAAUUGCUUCUGAACCUAUCUAUUACAGAUGAGAACAUGUUGUCUCUAUCUGCAGAAGAAAGCCUAAAACCAUGUUCCCAAAAUAAAACCAAACUUACUCGUUUUAGCCUCGUUUAAAUUCAUUCUCGAGUUUAACUUUCAUGGUUGGUUGUAAUUAAUUUGUAUUCCAUUGCAGAAAGUUGUUGUCAAAGUGGAUGUACACGAUCAUAAAGAAAAACUGAAGGUUAUGAAGGCAGUUUCCAGCCUUUCAGGUUAAUAUUAUGUUUGUUUUGUUUUUCCUGUAUUUUCACUUGAGUACCAUAUGUUCGACUAAACUUUGUUUUGAAAUAUAUACAGGGAUUGAAUCCAUAGCUUUUGACAUGAAUGAAAAGGAAAUGACGGUGACUGGGGACGUUGAUCCAUUCGUUAUGAUCGGAAAUAUUAAAAAGUAUUGUCAUGCAGAUAUAGUGACCAUUGGACCAGCCAAAGGUUGGUAGAAGCUCAUUGCAGGGCCAUCAAUCUUGAAAUUCUAGAAGAGUAUCCCGGUGAUUGUGUUAUAUCAGAGGUCUUAAACAAUAAUGGAAACGUACAAGAAAAGAUGCAUUAGGUACAUACAUGUAUAUUGCAAUACUUUCAAGAACUCAUGUGGAGAAUGGUCAAUGUAAAAGGAAAGAUGUAGUAGGUACAUGUGUAUGGGAUAGGCUUUGGAUUAAUUCGUGAUACACAUGGAUGAUAUUGCUAUAUUUAUUCAUAUAUAAUAUUUUGCAUUAUCUUAGUAUUUUUAGCUACAUUUGUAUUUAAUUUAGGACAAAAGGUUCUUAUAAUGUUUAAAUUUACCUCAAAAAGCUUCCAAUGUGGAGGUGAUCCUGGAUCCACAAGCUCAAACAAUCUGCUCAAGUGCUCCUCUUCUUCUUCUUCACCUUAAGACACCAAAAUCUCUUUGUCAAACUAAAAACUCACCAAAACACUCAAGGGUUUCGUUUUCUAGGACAAGGAGAGGUGUAGGCCGGUUAACAUUUCCAAAUGAGGCUAUAAUGAGGUUUAAAUAGGGUGAAAACCCUAAAUAUUAUGGUUUGUCUCAGCCUUACGUACGCCCUGCGUACGUGGUUAAGUCCCACGACCACUUUUAUGGCUAGUACGCUAAGUGUACCCAUUGAGUACACCCCAUGUACUAACCAAGGGACUAAUUUUGAAAGAAAUUUGCAUUAGGGGCUAAAAGAGAAACUUACAAAAACUUGAAUGUCACAAAAAACCCUGUUGCAAAACCACUCAUUAUGUCCACAUAAAGCAACCAUACUUUGGUUUGCUUAGCUACUUUGUGUUUCUUCUUGCUUGUUGUUGUUGGAUCUUGAUGAUUUGAGCAACUGUUUGGCAAUGGAGGUCCACAUAGAUGUUUGUUCCCAACAUAUAUUGAUGGACCGGUAAGUGUCUGCAGUUGAUUUCCUAUCAGAAUUUGUCCUGACAUGUUGUUUGACAAAUUCAAAUGGCUUAAAAAGUUCAAAGAUGCCAUGAUCGAAGGGAUCCUCCCGUUCAACUUGUUUUUUGAGAAACCAAGAGAAAAUAACUGUGUCAUGUUUCCAAUGUUGUCUAGUAUACCCCCACUCAGAUGAUUAUUAGACAAAUUCAAACCUACCAACGUAGAAAGUGUAGUUAGCUUGACCAAUAUUUCUCCCUUAAGUUUAUUGCUUGAAAGGUCCAUGUUAUAAACCAUUCUCCAAGUUGUUGUAUAUUUGAGAUCAACACCUUUUAUGAACUGAAUCACAAUCUUAUCAUAAACGAUAUCUAGAUGAUGCUCAAGNNNNNNNNNNNNNNNNNNNNNNNNNNNNNNNNNNNNNNNNNNNNNNNNNNNNNNNNNNNNNNNNNNNNNNNNNNNNNNNNNNNNNNNNNNNNNNNNNNNNGGCCGAGUCAAAUCCUUGACUCUACCUGUAGCAAAUGCUAUGGGUAGGGAAGCUAUGAAGGAACUUCUGCUUGCAGAGUAUUGCCCUCGGGGCGAAACACAGAAGCUAGAACACGAACUCUGGAACUUAAAGAUGAAGGGUUUUGACAUAGCCUCUUAUACUUCAAGAUUCGAUGAUCUGGCGUUACUCUGUCCGGGAAUGGUUACCCCGGAGAGUAAAAAGAUUGAGAGGUUCGUCUGGGGGUUGACCCAGCCAACCAAAGGGAAUGUCUUAGCUGCAAAGCCAGACACCUAUGACAGCGCUAAAUGUCUUGCGAAAAUUCUGAUCGAUCACGAAGACAACUCUGAUGAGGAGGCUACCACCCCCGAGCCAGUCACCAGUGGAGGCGGAAGCAAAAAGAAAUUCUGGAACAAGCGGAAGGCCCAAAGUACGCAAGGGUUUUCUGAGAAACAGCAAACAGUAGCAGUCCAUGCUGUUACUGCCCCUGUUGCUGUUUUAGCUGUCGGGUCCACGGCCCAAACUCCUACCAGUGGAUACACCGGUACCCUUCCUUGGUGCAGUAAGUGCAACUACCAUCACCGUAUUCCUGGUCCAUGUCGCGAAAGAAUCUGUGACAACUGUGGCAAUAAGGGCCACCUUGCUCGAACCUGCAGAAAACCAGCCAAAUCGACAAACCAAUCAUUUGGAGCGGGAAUCAGUCCGGCCUGCUACAAUUGUGGCGAAGUAGGGCACUUCAAAAGGAAUUGCCCCAAAGCAGCUACAACCACUGAUCCCUCUGUCGCUGCAGAUAUACUCCUCUUUGACAAUUUUUAUACCUGCAACUCUUUUCAAUAUUAGAACAAAAAAAAGGGAAACCUGUUACCCAUCCAUUCGAACAUUUUCUAAUCUCAAUCCUUCAUUUGUAAUCGAAAUGCGCACCAUCGAGAUAACUAACCAGUGAGAUAGAGAACACUAACUUCGUACCUAUAGAUUGUAUCCUCAGUCCGGAGGAUUAUUCUGUUCCAUUCGAUUUAAAUGGGGGAAACUCUUCACGAAAUACUUUGAUGCUAUGUUUGACAUGAAAUGACCGAGUCCCAUUCAUGUUGUUGUCCUUGGUUUCGAAAGGGUCACUCGUCUAGAUCUUUUCCUCGACCCGGUUCUCGUGAUCUUCGGCAUCAAACCUUCGUAUCAUUCCAUGCCUUAAAGCUCAAAAGUUUUUCCCGAUAUGAAUUACCACGCAUCCCUCGUUUCUGUGAUCAUCGAGAAAUGGGAAGUUAACAGCUCUUUCCUCUAAAUGUCUUUCCCGAAGGAUUCCCGAGAAUUUCUUCCGAACGUCUAGCUUAGUCCCACAUCAGGCCUUUCGAGAUCUUCAUAGAAAUCGAUUCUGCAAUCUUCAAAUUUCGGAUGCCCUUAGAGCUUGGUAACAUCUAUCCGGUACAUCACGUCUCGAAUCCUUAGAAGUACCUACCCGACGAAACCCUAGUGAUUUCCUUUGAGGAAAACGAAGUCGUCCAGGGUUGAAACUUUCAUGAGAAAAUCAAUCGAGAUCAUAGAUUGAGAGAGAGUCAAUGUACGAAACAAAGACACGUCCCGAUAGUGAGAGUUCGCUGGAACGCCCAGCGGAGACCCGAUCCCACUUGAGAACGUGAAGAUUCGAGGCGACAAAUCCAUUCGUAUGUCAUUCCAAUUCAUGAUCUAUAUCUUAUUCUUUGAAUUUCGGGACGAAAUUCCCUCUAACGGGGGGAUAAUGUAACAACCCGAAGUUGUUCAACACCGAAAACCGUUCUACCCGAAAAAUUCGCCGUUUAUCAAAUUCGUUCCGUUUUCGUUUUGGGUUAAGUUAUUUAAACUUAUAUGUUUAUUAUAAUCUAAUGAGUGUCCAAACCCCUUAGGAACUCAUGAAAUUAGCCCAAAAAUAUUUAUUUCAGAAAUUUUAGAAAUAUCCUCGCCGGGUUACGGAAACUUAAUCGGGUGCGACCUAAAGCCCCGUUUAAUGCCGGUAUCGGGUAGAAUUCCACCAUGUCCAAGUUUUGAGACCUAUAUAAACAUGUUUAAACAUUCAUUUGAAGCUUUUUCUUCCUCUCUCUACUCUCUCUCUAACCUCUCUCCUAAAUCUAAGUUCAAGGGUCCAAAACUCAAUUUUAAGGCCUCAAAUCUCUAAGGUACCUUCCUAAACUCAUUGUGUAUCAUAUUGGACCUUCAAAUUCUAGAUUUAUUCAUGAUUUAGAGGCUUAUAUAUGAGUUUACGGCCCAGGAUGGUGCUUAGGAUGUAAACCCAUAUUUAAAGGGUUUUUAAGCCCUAAAACCCUUCCAAACCACAACUAGANNNNNNNNNNNNNNNNNNNNNNNNNNNNNNNNNNNNNNNNNNNNNNNNNNNNNNNNNNNNNNNNNNNNNNNNNNNNNNNNNNNNNNNNNNNNNNNNNNNNGAUAAUGAAAGGGUCUCGAGUUUCUUUAGUCGCUUAAUGGGUGGAAAUAUCUUAAGAGCGGAACAAAAUUCUACAGACAGGAAAACAAGCCUUUCCAACUGUCCAAUUGAUGGCUGAAUCUUUUUUAAACGCCGGCAUCCACGAAGAAUGAGUCUUUCAAGAUUUGGAAUUUCACCAAAAUCUGGUGUCAUGAUUAGGUUAUUCAAUCUAACAAGUUCCAAGAUUUUCAGAUUUGGCAGAUUCUGUUGCAUAAAAGUGCAAACAAGUUGGUAUAUCAAGGUAAUAAGAAUUUAAAGUAAAAUUCAAAAUUAUAUACACGUGAAACAAGUCAAAACAUAUGAAUUAUAUAUUAGAAAAAAAAGUAUAAUAUUUGCAAAGUUUGGAAUUCAGGCGGUCCCCCAUUAAAAAUACAUAAAGCUGGGACUAAACCAUUCGACCAGCUAUUUAUUUGGUUUCACCGGAAAAUCAAAGAACAACGUAAUCCAAAUAACCAGUUUUAACAAAUGAACUGGACACGUUAUUUAGUUGACCUGAAUCGUGAACACCUCUAACUUGAAGAAGGGAGAUUCCUAUUUGACAUGAUGUGGAUUUUUUUAAACAACCCUUUAAUAUGAUAGGUCUUUUUGGUCGUGUUUAUCAGCACCACAAAUAUGUUGGUGAUUUGUAUUACCAAUGCGUAUUUAAGUGUAAUUGAUUAAUUAGUUGACCAAAUACAAUCUUGAUGAGCAUUAAACAAGUAAGGGAGGUGCGGAAUGCACACUUGUUUGAGUUUGUUCAAGAUUCAAAGUACAUUGUCAUUUAGGGGCGAAGCACUAAAUGAACGGGAGUCCGGGGGCAGCGCCCCUGGUAGCGGGGUCCAAGCCCCUGUCUGGGGUCAAGCUGGAAAUUUUUUAUUUGGGUGCACGAGGAACAAAUGUCCAAGUACCAUUCUUGAGUAGUGUUUCAUAUUCAUCAGCAAUGGCUUGUUGCCAAUGAGGUUGUUUAACAGCAGCCGAGAAGGUCUUUGGUUCCUGUUCAGAUGUAGUGGUUGUGUGAAAAGCCGCUGGAUCAAAUCGGGUCGUUUGUUUUGGAUUCUAUCGGAGCAUAGCUGCUCUAACUCGGGUUGCAAAGGUGUCGGUUGGGGCAUCAGUAGUUGGCAAUGAUGACAGAUUCAUAGCCUGACCAGUUCUGGUCUGUCUGCUGCGAGCAUAUGUGAAACGAAGGGGAGGAGCAGCAGCAGUCGGUGUCACUAGAGAAGGAGGUAAUGUAGUAGCUGGUGGUGUUUGUGGUGAGGAAGUUAAUGUAGUAGCUGGUGGUGGUGAGUCAUCGUCAAUAGUGGGAAGUGGGUAGGUGGAGAUAUAAGGGUCAGAUGUGGAGGGUGUAGGCUUUAUAGUGACAGGUAUCAAAAAGGGAAAGUGGUUUUCGUGAAAACGAACAUGACAAGAGAUGUAAAUCUUGUCUGUGGUUGGAUCAAAACACCGAUACCCAUGAAGAGAGGAGCUAUACUCAAGAAAGACACAAGGGGUGGAGCGAAAAUCCAUCUUAUGACUUAUGUUGGUUAUAAGGCCGAAGAUGCGGAAAGCAUUGACACCCGAAAAUCUUUAAAAAAAGAAAAAUCAGAGGGUCGUGAAAAGAUGGACUCAAAGGAUGAGGUAUUAGAGGUGGUUCGAGAUGGCAUUCGAUUGAUAAGAUAAACUGCAAUGUCAAAUGCAAAACCCGAUUGAGCGAGAAAGGUCAGGCCAGUUUCAACAUGUCGAUGGCAUCGCUCAACCAGGCCGUUUUGUUCACUUGUAUGAGCACAAGACAACGGAUGAAUGAUGCAAAGAGAGCUAAAAACUAAAGAAGUUUUCGAAACUCACCCUCCCCCCACCCCCCAAGUCAGUUUGAACCGACUUAAGCUUGGUUGAAAACUGACGUUGAACAACUGCAACAAAUUGUUUGAAAAUCUCAAAAACAUCAGAUUUGCGUUUAAAAGGGAAGAUUCACAUAAAGCGGGAAAAGUCAUCAACAAACAACAAGAAAUAAUUGUGACCGUCACAAGAGGUCACAGGUGCCGAACCCCAGACAUCACACACGAUAAGAUCUAAAAUAUGUUUGCGAUUAAAAUUGGAAGAAGAUAAAUGAAGCUUGCAAGAUUUCCCAAUAUGACAUGAAUUACAAAAAGCAUCAGACAUUUUAUGAGAAACAGGAAGACAAUACAUAGAACACAUAAAAUUGAAAAGUUGUGAAUGGGGGUGCCCCAUCCGUUGAUACCAAAUGUCAGAAGGGGCUUUAAAAGUAGUGAGCGCAACUUUGGAAAGACUCUGAAGAGACGAAAGACGGAUAGAGUAAAGACCAUGAGCGUAGUUUUGGUAGUAUUGUCCUUCACAACAAAAAAAAAGUGAAACUCAAAGAAAACAUCAUUGUCAAGACAAAAUUGUUGAACUAAAAGAAGAUUCUUUUGAUUGUUGGAACAUGAAGAAUAUUGUAUAAUGAAAAGGUUUUAGAAGGUGAAUAAAAACGAGUAGAUCCAAUAUGUAAAAUAGAUAAACCUGUACCAUUGCCGACAUCAAGAGAAUCCUCCCCAAAGUAAGGAGUGUGACUGUCAAGAGAGGACAGAUCAUGAGAGACAUGAUUGUUAGAGCCCGUAUCACGAAGCCAUGUAGUGUUUUGAGAGUAAUUUUCAGCAAAGUUAGCAGUUGGUUGUUGAUGAAGACGAAUGGUGAUGGGGUCACGGUUAGGACAUUGAGAGGGAAUAUGUCCAAUUCCACAACGGUUGCAUGCAACAUAGACCGCGUUUUUGUGUAGAAGCCCAAGAGAAUUGGUUAUGAGUUCCUCCUGAUGAUUGAGAAUAGCUACCGCUACCACAAAGAUUGUUUGAGCCGCAACCUCGAGAAGAUGAAGACCAGUUGGCGUCAAAUGAUUGAGGUGAUGUGGAAGGGGCUGGUUGAAGUUGAAGACCCAAUUGUGACACGAGUUGUUGAAGAGCUUGUAAUGUAUCAGGUGCAGAUGAAGAUGCAGUAGUGGAGCGGGUUUUGGCUGUGGUGGCAAAAGCUUGAACCGGUGUUACAGUGGGCAUAUUUUUCUUGACCAUGAAGUCAUGGUCAGCGAGGAGUCCAUUCAAUUCUUGGAAAGAGGUGGGAACUUGCCGAGUAAGAAGGGUGGUAGGGUAGGAGUGGGACAUGGAAUAGGCUCGUUAUAGAGAGAGCCAAAGAUCCUUUGUUGUCGUUCCUUGUGCAUGAAGAUAAGAUGCUUCAGAGAUGGUAGAUAACAGGAGUGUGUGCACAUAGGCAUCAUUGGCCAGCCAUGCAACGUAAGACGGGUUCGGUAUGGUUUAGUAACGGCUUUGUCUGUGGCCGGUAGGGUAGGAGUGGGACAUGGAAUAGUGUCAUCAACAUAAUGAAAAAGACUGUUGCUAAAUACAAAAGGCUGGAUCAUUGUUUUCCAGAAACCAUAAUUGUUAGGAGAGAGGGUAAAAGGAAACUUAUGAGAGUUAUGUGAGGUCUUCUCGAUUGUAGAGAAGGGAGUAAUGGUCGUCGAUAUAAUCAUUUAUGAAGAACAAUACCUGACGGGCAGAUCUAAUUGUAGGCGGCUAGGGUUGUAACCCUAGGAGGAUCCGACUAUGGUAGGCUCUGAUACCACAAUAAAUGUGAUGUAAACGUAUUGUAUUAUUGAUGAUAACAUAAUACAUGAGNNNNNNNNNNNNNNNNNNNNNNNNNNNNNNNNNNNNNNNNNNNNNNNNNNNNNNNNNNNUAUAUAUAUAUAGGGUUAGGUUAUUUUGUUUUCACUAUCUAUUGUGUGCAUGUAUGACUGAUUCUGGACCAAUCAUUUUAGUUAUUUUAAGAAAGUAAUUAAUGUAUAUUACAUGUUGAAGAUAUAAUAGGUAUUAAUUACAUCUUCAGCAUUUAAUAUGUAUUAAUUACUUUCUUAAAAUAACUAAAAUGUUUGGUCCAGAGUCAGUCAUACAUGCACACAAUAGAUAGUGAAAACAUUUGAACCUAACUCUAUAUAUACUAAUAUAACUUGUCUAAUAACCCUUAUCUAAAACCGGUUUUGUGAUAAUUUAGAGACAGUUUGGAAACUGCCUUGUGACAGUUUCAUGUCGGUUUUCAGAAAACCAUAACAAUCUCAUUCUUUUUUCUUGCAUUUUUCCUGAGUCUUAUCCAAUUGAGAUUUCGGGAGUACCACUGAAAUACUUCAAUUUGAAAGUGUUUUCACGGUUCUCGAAUUCCAAACAAUCUUUUAUCCCUAAAUUCUAACAAAAUACAGAAGGUUAUCUUUUAUAUUCAAUUAAGAUUAGUAUUUCCUUAAUAGUUAUCUUUUUAUUUUGGUAUGUUUUUGUUUUUGGUAAGUAGGAUUUGACAAACAUUAUAAGUAUGGUCUGAGGAUUGAUUUUAUGAUUAUGAAAUAAACAUUUUGAGUCUUAGACUUUUCUAGACCACUGUUUUCGAGUUACCGGUACAUUUUUGGUUUUUUUGUGCUUCUUUUUUUGUAGUUCGUAUCAAAUUGGUAUCAGAGCAACGAUUCUGGCAGAAUCAUUGUUAAUUCAAGAACUAUUUCAUUGGAAAUAUUGUUCAUGAUGAUCUGUUCAUCAGAAGAAUUGUUGACACGACACUGUUCACAGCGGAUUCUCAUAUCGAGAUGUCCAACAGCACAGCAAAAGUUGACAAUCCAUGAAGAGGCUGAAGCAACUAGGAAGGAAAAUUCUCAGCAAUUUGGGGAUAUUCUGAAAGCCAUCAAAAACUUUACUGUGGCAGAGGAUAGUCAAAAAUGGAACAAGGAUUCUGAAGUCAAGGAACCCUCAUUAGAGUUUGGAUCCUUGGAUUCUCGGAUGAUGAAGAUUCAUGUACAAGGAAAAUGCAUGAGGAAGACAAGGCCAAGGGCCAAGGUCAUCUCGUGGAUGAUUUAAAGAAACUGAAGGAACCUAUCUUUGAAGGGGACGAUGCUUAUGGUUGGAUCUACCGUAUGACUCGCCCCGGCACACACCAUGAAGACCCGAGGUGGUUCGAUAACAGUUUCCAGAUUUCAACCUUGAGGACAAGGUGCUUGUUUGGGUGGGGAGUAAUGAUAAAACUGGUUGUUUUGGUCAUGUUUAUCAGCGCCACAAAUAAAGAGGGUUAUCUUUUAUAUAUUAAUUAAGAUUAGUAUUUUCUUAAUAGUUAUCUUUUUAUUUUGGUAUGUUUUUAAUUUUUGUAAGUAGGCUUGACAAAGAUUACAAUUAUGACCUUAGGAUCGUUCUUAAGAUUAUGGAAUAAACAUUUUGAGUCUUAGACUUUUGGAGACCCUUGUUUAUCGAAUUACAGGAACGUUUUCGGUUUCUCUUUGCAUUCUAUUUCUGAUUUGUAUCAGCCUUAUGUUUAUAAUCAGAUUGUUUAAUAGUUUAAUUGUGCAUGGCAUGUAAUGUUGAGCUUACAGUUCAAUCAUCACAUUUAUUCCUCUAACAAUUUAAUAUUUCUCAGCAAAAAAAAGAAGAUAAUCCCAUAUAUAACAAUUCGCCGUCCAUCAAACUAAAAAAAUAAAACCAGGCUAAAAACCAGAAACACGAUUAUCAAAUAAAAAUAGAGGUUUACUACAAGUGAUAUUGCUUAAUGACACCAAUGACCAGUGACAUAACUAUGUGCUCGUAUCCAUAUAACUAUUUAUACUUUGCUCUCUGAAUUAGGCAAGUCAGGUCUAUGAUUAUUCAUCCACUUUGUUUUAAUUUGUUAUUUAGAUAGAGUAUAAGAAUUACCUUAUAACCCCUCCAAAGUCGUUUCUGCGAGAUGUCAUCCAAUAUCAAACAACGAAGCUCCCAUGGUGGAAAGUUAGUAGAAAAUGGACUUGCAAGAUCACCUCUCCAAUCAAUCCACCGGAGGUUUUUCAGGUUUGCAACCGAAGGAAGUUCUACUAGAUCAUGGCUAUUGCAUUCAAAUCUUACUGCUUUAAUGAUGUCAAGUUCCUGUAAUAGACGCAAAAUGAUGUCAGGAUUCUCUUCUUCCAAACCAUACAUAUAUAGCAUGUAAAGAUAGCUUAAGCAUUACCGUCGUCACAUCCAUAGCACAAAUUUUUAGAACAUCUUCCUUCUUCCAAACUCUACUAUGUUUUUCUGGAUUCUCAGGGUGUUCCCCUCUAACAAUGUAGUGUCCCAUUUCUUGCACCAAAUCAUGCAUAUCAAACAUUCCAUCUGAAAUAGUUAUGAGCGCCUUUUCUAACAACACCUUUAUGCCUAUAUCAGGGUAAAAACCACAAGCAUCAAGCAUCGACAUUAUCCCUUCAUUUUUAUACCGACCUCUAAAGAAACAUGCAAUAUCAAGAAACAACUCUUUCUCAACCACUGUAAGUCCAUCAAAGCUGAUUUUUAGCUUUUCCACAAUAUUUGUAUCUGGGAUGUCUUUCAAUCUGGCUAUUGCACUCCUCCACCCAUUAAUGUCUUUUCCACAUAGAAAACAACCAAGAACUGUAAGUGCUAAUGGGAGUCCACCAGCAUAAGAAACCACACUUUUUGAAAGGAGCUCAUAAUCUUUUUUAUGUUUGUGACCACAUGGUGCAUGCUUGCAAAAGAGCUCCAUAGCCUCAUCAUCGUUUAACAAACUAAUAUUGUGUAUCUCAUCUACUCUAGGCGCAGUAGUUGAUAUUACAUGUACAUCUCUUGUUGUGAUUAUUAUUCGGCUUCCUUCACCGAACCAAUCAUGUGAUUCAGCUAAAGCUUUUAAUUGGUCAAGCUGAUCGACAUCAUCAAGAACAAUCAGCACCUUUCUACGAUGUGUUUUCCUUCCUCAACUCUCUCUACCUGCACUAUCUUCUCUCUCAAAACACCAUAAAGAAUUUUUUGUUGCAAUUCUUCUAACCCUUUCUUACUUGAUUUCUCCCAGAUAUUUUCUAGAAAGCAACAACCAUCAAACUUUCUAGAUAUUUCCUCAUAAACAGAAGAUGCAAGAGUAGUCUUACCACCACCUCCAACACCCCAUAUUCCAAUCAUCCGCACACCACCUGAACCAAUUUGUAACUUCAAUUUCAAACUUUGCACACGAGACGCUAUUCCAAUAAGGUUGGUAUUUGUGCUUGGACUUACUAGCUGCAACCUCUGUGAAAUUUUUUCAACAAUUUCUAUGAUAACCUCUGAUUCAUGCCUACAUGUUGAAAUUUGGACAUACAACAAUAAUUCAAACAUGCUCACAUUACAAUAGAGGUAAAUUUGCUUUAUGCUCCAUGCUCCAUUAAAAUGAAGAAAAGGAGUAUUAAUCACCCUUUAUAUUUCUUAGAAGUUGUAAAGUCAAUAGCACAAGUAGUUUGUAACUAUUUUCUUAGGAAAAGCAAAUGAUAUCAAAUAGUUAAAAGUAAAGCAAGAUGGGUUUGUUGUUGUAAACUGAAGCAAGGGAUUAAAUACAGAAUUAAAAUUAGAAUUAGAACUCAAUUAAGUCUAUAACAGUUCAGGUAGACCAGGAUAUGCUGGAGUUUUGGUUGAGGUUGCUGCUGAUAGAGCACACAUGAUUUAAGCAUAAACAGUGCAGAAAGAGAAAGAAGAUUACCCGUUGGCAAUGUGCUUUGGUUCCCAUCCAGAAAUGUUACUUGCAUCCACAAGUGCUUUUCUCCAUGAUUCAACCUUUGUUUUGUUCUCCAACUCAUGCUUAACAAAUGCUUCUCCAUAUUUUUGUUUCUGUUUUCGAACUUCAGAUGGAUCAACGCCAUAAAAUAUGGGUAUAACUAUUUGGCCUCUCGUAUCUUUGCAUUUCAUGAUAUGUGCAAGUUCAUCUAAGCACCAUGAAGAAUCUGCAUAGUUUUCAGAGAAUACGAUGACGCCAAUCUGUGACUCUUCUAUAGCCUUCAUAAGAGAUGGAUUGAUCAAUUCGCCCCGAGGAAGUGUCUCGUCGUCUUUGUAAGUGUAUAUCCCUUUUUGUACAAGAGCUGUGUAGAGAUGAUCCACAAACGUCUUGCGAGUAUCUUCUCCUCUAAAACUUAGGAAAACAUCAUGAUUCCAUGAUUGAGAAGAAAAGGCCGGAGAUGAUGAUGAAGAUGCCAUUGGUAUGUUGAUUUGUUGUGAGAGAAUGUAUGCAGUUCCAGCACCUCAAUGAAACAAACUAUGUCUGUAGAAAGAGAGAGAGAUGAGUUUCCAAGAAAUUUCCAAUUAAUGAAAGCUCAAGAAAUAUCUCACCGCUUGACAUGUUGACUUGUUGAGCUAGAUAGCUAUAAUACACACACACACAUAUGGAGAGAGAUUUGAGUUUCCAAAAGAAUUCCAAUUUCCCAAAAGCUUUAAAAAUAAGAUGAAUCGAGUUGAUUUCAGAUUAAUGCAUGAUAUGCCAAUAUAAGAAAGGCACUUUAUUUAUUAUCCACAUUAGCAAAAAACUUACAUUUUAUUAACCGAAAUUAACCAAUUUGUAAUCUAAAAUCUUAUAAGAUGAUAUUUUGGCACAAGUUGUUGUCAUUUCAUCCUCCACAUCAUUUUCUAGGUAUACAAAACAUGAUGAGGCGCAAAGUUCUACAAUUCAAAUUAUCUUAAAGUUAUUAGCAUUAUUAUUGUUAUUAUGACUAAUAAUAAAAGGGUUAGAUACUUAUUUAUGCAACGAUGUUUUAACUUUUUUGGACCUCAUCAACAUUGUUAAUUUUAAUACAAAAUAGACAAUAAAGUUUCAUGUUAGUGCCAAAACAUGCAUUAUGAUCUUCUAAAUCGCUUACUUUUAAUUUUUUGGCUCGUAAAAGAAAUCCACCUCUCUAUCUCUCUAUCAAGGAAAACGGUGACAUAAAAGUGUCCUUAAAUUUAGUAGGAGGAUUCAUGGUGGGGAAACAAAUAGUUGGUGGUACAAAUUGAUAGUGGGGCAUCCCAUAACUUACACUUUAAUGAAAUUUUAGUGGAAAAGGCGGGAUUAGCAAUCUGGAGUACCCUCCAAUGGGAGUGGAGAGACGGUAGAAGGCGAAGGCGUGUGUAAAUCCAUAAAACUUUGGAUGAAAGGGAUCAAAAUGCUAAACGAUUUCUUCCCUCGUUGCUCGUUGGCUUGCAUUGUCAUGGGGAUUCAAUAGUUGGCUUCAUUAGGUUCGAUUCAAGUAAAAUGGAAAACAUAGGGAAUGAAGUUUGAGUAGAGAAGUGAACAUGUAACGUUGAGAGGGAACACGUCAUUAGGGAGAUCCGUGGUCUCAUAAAAAAGUUUAUGGAAAACGAAUAUGGAGGCACACUAUGAAGAAACGAUAGUAUGUUCUAAGGAGAUCGGGGGUAUUGGACGCAUUUGAUGAAGUAUUUCAAAUCCCCAAAGGGUUACCAUCCGAUUGCGGAUGUAAACAUGAAAUUGUAUUGAAGGACUUAAAAGAACCACUAAAUAUCCGUCCGUAUUGAUAUCCUAAUUUCAAAAACAUAAUGUAGAAAGAUUGAAAGAAAAGCUGGUAACAGAGUUGUAAGAGGCGGGAAUGAUUCAGUAUAGAUGGGGGGCUUUCUCAAACCCAUUUUUGCUAGUGAAAAAGAAGGAUGGGGUUGGAGAUUUGCAUCGAUUAUCAUGCUUUAUAUAAAUAGGUUCCCAGUUCAUAUAAUCAAUGCAUCAUGCAUUCAUUAUUUUCCAUUUGUAUAGAGCUAUUAGUCGAUGCAUUUCAUCAAACCUUAUUCCUCCACAGCUGAUGCAAGAGCUGGAACGCAUGUGGUAAAUCAAAUCGCAUGAUUUACCAUUGUUUGAAGCUUCGUGGGAGGAUUUUGAAGCAUUGGAUAUGCAAUUUCCUCAUUUCCACCUUGAGGACAAGGUGAAGGUUUUGGGCAGGGAAUUGAUAAGCAACAAAUACGGUUCACAUAUUCAAGAAAGCGAAAGACUGAAGAGGGGUAGAUCUGUCAUUGUACCACGUCAAAUAGAUGAUAAUUGAGGAGGUGGUGACACUUGGUUUAGGCCUGAAGAGUGCAAGAGAGUGUCAGUUUCAGCCUUUUCAGGUUAGUUAGGAGUGCUGAGAUGUGUGGGUGUGUGUGUGUGUGUACACGGAUUAGAGAGGGGAGUAGGGGACGACCAAUUUUUUUGUAAGAAACUUUUGGUGGGAGAUAGAGAGUUGACAAGUUCUUAGAUACAACUAAUUUCCUUCUUUUAUCCGUUCUUAUUCUUUUAUCCCAAUCCAAAAAGUGUAUCUUCGAUCUGAUUACAAUGUUAUGCACUAAUGAUAAAUACCCCAAUUACCUGGUGCUUAAUCGUAGCAAUACACGAUUUUAAAAUACACAGCAGAUGGACCAAUCCCCAGUCAAAGGAUAGUUUAAACUUUAAAUGCCCCGUCCCCUAUUCGAUUUUCCUUUUUGUAUCCACAUUCCACAACACAUAUAAACAUCAUAAGACUCAUCCCCUCCAAUUACAUACCCUUAUAACAUACAAAUCAGCAUAUUAACUUCACAUAUUCUUUAAUUUAAUCAUCUAACAAUAGGAAUUAAAAACUUCACAACGUUUGACUAAUUUGGGCCAAAAUACGCUUCUCACAUUCCAGAUCGACAUUUUUUAACUCGUUGAUAAUUUAAUUUGUAACUCAUAUAAAAUUCAUUAACACUUCAAUUUCAUUAUCGAUGACUUAAACUUCAUCAAGUUAUCAGCUUGAGGAACGUACCUCAAAUUCUCAGCAAUACCUAGUAGACUCCUUUUCUGCAGUCAACUUAUUGGCAAGCUUAUACGUACUUCAAUUUUCAUAGCGUUCUUCCUCUAGUUUCUUUCAGCGUGGAUCGAUACCUUUCCUCUAGCGUUGACUUCUUUCUCUCAAUUCUCUAGAUCAGUUAUCGAGGGGAUUAAAUUAAUGAGAAAGUAGUUAUAAUUUCCUUUAUGUAUUUACUCAAGUUAUGGAGUUUCAAUAUCUAGUCCCUAGAUUUCUGUAUUCAACGUUCUCGCCUCCAGAACCUUAAAUUUUGAUAAUAUAUCCUUAGAAUUUUGUUUUGCCCUAUCUAUUAUGCUAAUUUGUAAAUUAUUUAUCCUUAUAUAUACACCUCCAAAUUUCAUUAUUUACUCCGGCUCCGAAUUUUAUAAAAACCAGUAUAAUUUGGAACCUUUUUUAUUUAACUAGGAAAAUUUUAUGUUUUAGUUAUCAGUUGAGACUUAAUUUGUUUUAUAUCAAAAUUUUAUUUUUUUUAUAUCGUGCUUGAUGUAAAAUGUAGUUUUGGUUCCUUUUGUUUACCAAAAUUCUAAAUUUUGAUCCCAGUAUUGGCUUUUUUGCUAUUAAUGGUUCAGGAUUUUUGGUAACACUAGCACGGCCGUUCCAAUAACUUUUCCAAGAAUCGUUUGGCAUGAAGCUCGUUUAUGAACAAACAAGGGCGGAGCUUUAUAGGGGCAGGGGGGGCUGAUUUUUUUGUUAUAUAUAGUCCUUUUACUUUAAUUUUGUACAUAUUAUGCCCAAAAAUAUACAAAUUUUGGCCAUGGCCCCCCCUGUUCAUCGAUUUUUAUGCAUAUUAUNAUAUAGUCCUUCUACUUUAAUUUUGUACAUAUUAGGCCCAAAAAUAUACAAAUUUUGGCCAUGCCCCCCUUUUCAUCGAUUUUUAUACAUAUUAUACUUCUGGUCCCCCCAAAUCAAAUGUUGAAGCUCCGCCCCUGCAAAAAACAUUGAACAUGUAUGCACAUAAAAGAAACUUAAAUGAACGAGCAUAAAUGAAAAUAAACGAACAACACAAAUGAACGUUUAUGAAUAUAAUUAAACGAACGUGACCAUUGUUCAUGUUCGUUCGUUUAACUAAACAAACGAUAAUUUAGUUAAACGAACGAACAUGAACAAUUGUCUCGUUCGUUUAAUUAUAUUCAUAAACGUUCAUUUGUGUUGUUCGUUUAUUUUCAUUUAUGCUCGUUCAUUUAAGUUUCUUUAAGGUGCAUACAUGUUCAAUUGUUUUUUAUUACAUUACUCUAUUAUAUGUUUGUUUAUGUUCAUAUAUGUUCAAUUAUGUUUGUUUGGUUAUGUUUGUUUAGUAUGUUCACAAACAUGAACAAGAAAACAUGUUCGUUUGUUCGCCUAACUUAAAUGAACAUGACCAUGAACAAACCCUCAUUUGUAUUUGUUCAAUUCGUUUACAGUACUAAGUACUAAACACCGUUGGUGACCUUUGAGACUAUUACCAGCCGUUAAGCUUAAUUACUAACAUUAUGAAAGGACUAAAAUGCCCUCAAGCUAUAUUAUGGAAGAAGGUAGAUAUUGUUUUCUUCUUCCUAACAUCAUACAUUCACACCUCUCAACACCACCAUAGGGUUUGAUCAUUUCCUUUAUUAUCCACCUCUCUCUUAAGCUCCACUAAAGGCAUGUCGACAUCACCACUAACACGCCAACCUCUUUCGUCGAUAUCAACAACAGUCACUGCUACGCCAUCUCUGACUCAACAUGGUCUUCACCUCACCAAAACCAAACUUGUCGAUCCCAAUCACCUUCUCCAUGUUUUCAAUCGAUCGAUUCAUCAAAUUGAUACUACUCAAACCCUAAAAUCUUUCUUUAUUCUCACUACGCUUCUCUGUAACUCCAGUUAGUCAAGACAUGAUAGUAUUAUGUUGUGGAAAAUGAUUAGAACCAAGGUUCUGAAAGGCAUGAGGUGUGGCGUGGCGGCAAGGCCGAGCUUCAAGCUUAACGAGUUAUGGCGAGCCAUGGCGUUUUUCAAGGCGUCAUGUAAGGCAGCGAGUUUGUAUUAAUUUAUAAUUAUAUUACCAUAUAUAUAUAUAUAUAGAGAGAGAGAGAGAGAGAGAGAGAGAUUUAUAUCAAAUAUAACAAAUUUUUAGAAGUGUUACAUCAACAAAUAAUAACCAAAAGUUAACAAAAACACAAUACUUGUAUGUCCGAUUAGAAAAGGUAUAAAAAAAGAGCAAAAAAAGUGUCUCAAACGAAAAAACAUGCGACAUAACACGAUCUUUGGUGUUGGGCACUUGAUGGCCAUGUAAGAUCAUAAAAUUGGAAACUUUAUGGUCAACGACAUCAUUUUGGACUUAGAUUUUGAAAUUGGACUUAAGGGCUUAAGGAUUAAGCUCUUAAUGAGUGGAUUGGUAGUCAGUUGCGUACGUUGGGCGUACAAGGCGUACGACGUGCGUACACAAUCAACAAGCAUGUGCCUGGUCAACCAUCGAGUACGCUGGACAUACAGAUGAGUACGUUGGGCAUACUCAGUUGGGCUGACUUAGUUGACUUUUUGGAAUUUUGAGUUUUACCUGAAUUUGAACAAGUUUGAUCUAAGGGUAUUUUGGGUAUUUUGUAUUGUGUUUAAGAAUUGGUCAUUCGGAUGGAUAGGUGACCUAUAGAGGGGUGUUCUCAACCAACCUUGGGCUUUGACUUUUGUUGACUCCGUUGACCGCCGACUUUUGACCAAGUUUGACUUUAGGUCAAACUUGAGGGUUUUAACUGGUGAAUAAGAUUUUAUAUGGUUCUGAUGUUAGUGGAUAUGCGGGAGCAAGUAGUGUAUCAGGGAGCGUAUCACAAUGUUCUCGGGUUCCUUCAUUUUAGGUGAGUUUCAUCUCAUUGUACCGUAGGUCGAAGGCACCAAUGUCAGCCCACUAGUUCUGGUUAUAUGUUAAUAGAAGGAUGCCUUACGGACUGUAUAUAGUCAUGUAGGAUAGACUGAGGACUCUUGGUCUAGGCUCUCUCACAUGUUCCUUGUUUCGUUGUGGUUCUAGAGUAGGACCACAUGUCCGGGUGGCUAUCUUACCUCUGAGUAUAUAUCGUUAUCCAUUCUUGGUGCGGUAAUAUUUAGUAUGUUGCUAUGUUGUAGUGACCUGCUAGAUCUGUAUCCUUGUAUCGAGUAUGUUACUAUACUGUAGUGAUCUGUUAGAUCUAUAUCUUGGUGUGUAGGAUGUUGUUAUGUUGUAGUGAUAUGUUAGAUCUGUAUCCUAGUAUGUAGGAUGUUCCUAUGCUGAAGUGAUCUGUUAAAUUGGUAUCCUGGUAUGUAAGAUGCUGCUAUGCUAUAGUGAUCUGUUAGAUCUGUAUCCUGAUAUAUAUGAUGUUGUUAUGCUGAAGUGAUCUGCUCGUUUGCUAUGCUAAAAGACUAUUAUUUAAAUAGGAAAAAAUUGUGAGCUAGGGGUUGGGGGUGUAUUUAUUUAAGUAAAUAAAAAAAUCAAGGGCAAAAUAGUCUUUUUAGGUAAGACAUGGAUCAAACAUGUAAAAAAACAAACAGUAGGGACCUUUCGAGCUACAAAACAAGUUAGGGACCAAACACGCAAAUUACCCUAAACCAUAGGGACCAUUGGUGUAAUUUACUCUAAAAUUAAUUUUCGGUGAUUUUCGAUUCGAUCUUCAACGAUAGAUGAUUUUAGUAGCUUGAGACAUUCUAAAAGUAAUUAUGAAUAUGAUAUCUUUAAUAUACAUUAUAAACAUAAGAUUACACAUAAUUGGUCCUUAAUACAUAGCGGUUCGUGGUGGUUUGACCAUCGAACACUGACUAAUUUUUACCAAUUGUUACAACAGCUGUCACACAGUGGCAACCCUUGCCCACGUCGUGGCGGUCCAAUAAAAUAUAUGUGCUUUUAUUUAAUCCCACGCUGUGGGCAUCCCUGCACCAUGUCGUGCCACAGGUUUUCCCCCAAAACUCCAUCUUUACCUCCUAAAAAUAUAAAGCUAAACUAGUCUUGAACACAGGUGUUAUAAAGGUCAUGAUUUCUGAUCAAUAUACUUACACAACACUCAUAGAUGGGCUAUCCAAAGCAAAGAGAUUGGAAGAUUCAAAUAUGGUUUUAGAAGAUAUGUAUAUUACUUUUUUUGUGGCAGAUUUUUGUGAUGAUUAGGAAAUUUGUGAGGUAGUGCUGGUUGUGAUCGUGGCAAAAAGAGCAAUACGGUGGUGGUGUAUGUCUACAUGAUGGGGAUUUGGAGACCCUAAAAGCGUUUCAGGUAGCUUCUAUUUAAAUAAUCAAUGAACCAGAUAACUGUCUUAUUUGAACUAAUAUUAUUUUAUGUUCAAAACAUGGUUUCUACAUGUCUCCUACUCAACUAUAAAUAGAACCUUAUACUUUGGAAUUUUCAAGUACUCUUUUUUAGAUACUAGAUCCAAAAAUUGAUCCUCUCUCGCCUCUCUCUUAAUUUUCUAUGGUUCUUGUGUUGUGGGUGUGAACCAUUAGAGGCUCGCACACAAAUAGAGCUUGUUUUCAAAGAUAAUUCUAGAUUGCUUUGUUGGAAUCAAAGAUUUGUUUACAAUAACAAAUAAAAGGUAUGCAAUUUUGUGAAUUUUGCUUUCAAUUAGGGUUUAGAAGAUUUGAUGUUCAAUAAUAUGUUGCUUAAAUAGUGUUAUGACAUAGAUCAAAGUAGGUUGCACGUACCCUUAAGAAUAUAAUGAUUUUUUCGUAUUAUUACAUGUAAAACCUAUCAAUAUCUUAUAUAAGUUAACAAUGACAAAAGUAUGAUUGAAGUCACCAGAUACAUUCCUCGUUUGAUAUGGUCCUAAAACAUAAGAUUUCAUGAAUAUAGCAUAUAAUAUCCUAAAAGGAAAUCUAUUAUAACUUUUCAGAUGGUAAAAGUAAUAUGAUUAUUUGUUACAUGUUUUUUAUUCAUUUGGUGAUGAUAUUACUAGCUUAUAAAAAAAUCUAUUAUCACAAUGUUUUUUCAAUCUUAUUCAUACAAUAAGGAACAAUGCCCAAAUUAUUCAUAAAUAAAUUUCAUUAAAGUAUAUUUCUGGUAUACCCGAAAAUACCCAACCCGAAUCAUCAACCCGGAUACCCGAACUAUAAGACCCGAAUUGUAAAUAGUUCAUGUUUCGGUUCAUAUUAUUUUAUGAAAAAACUCAAAUUACCCGAAGCUCGAAAAUUACCCAAUCAAUAGACCUAAUUAGCAAUAGUGAUUAGUAGUAGAUAAUAAGCAAUAAAGAAAGGAUAAAACAAGGGAAAAUUAGUCCUAUGCUAAAAGCAUAACAUCUAAACUGUUAGAUUUAACAAUGCAGGGACCACCGGAGGUAACAAAACCCUCCAUACGGAUCACUAAUUCACCCAUGACAAAAAGCGAAUAGUAGGACCAAAAGCGCUAUUUUGGCAAAACUAUAAGGACCAAAAAUGUGUUUUACUCUAAAAUGAAUUAAAUAUAUAUUAAAUAACGGAAAUAUGACCAGAUCUCGUAAAAACGAGGAAGUUCGAGUAAAACGAAAGAUGGAAGAAGGAGAAUUCAUGAAGUAAAUCAGUGAAUUGAAAAUCAUAGUACAGUCGAUUUAAGUACAUGACUUGUAAUAUUGAGGAGAAAUCAUUCUGGGUUGAACUGGGAGCCGAUUUAUUAGUCGAGGUACGUUGAUUAUAUAUGUAAAGUUUGCUUAAGUUGUGUUAAAUUAAUGGUUGUAAGAUGAUUAGUUGUUGGGAUGUAAGCUAAAUCAAGACAUAGAACUAACUUAGAAGAAAGUUAAGUUGAGAUUGUGUUUCCUGACCUAAUUUUGUCAAUUUCUCGAUUAAAAUGGGUAAUGGUGAUUUGAGUGAAUUAGGCAAUGUUAAGUAAUGAAAUUGAGAAUAUUAUAUAUUAUGCUAAAACUAUGGGAUGAUGUCAACUUAAAUAAAAAAGAACAUUCUCAUUUUGUAGGUUUUUUUUAUCAUUAUAUUAAUGUUGGUUGAACCCACAGAGCAUGAAAAAGAUUUUAUGUAUUCAUUACCUCUUGUGUUAUGAUGCUUUCCUUGUUUCUUUAAUUUUACUUUUUUCUUGCAGGGUAACCCCUUUUUAAUUUUAUUAUGUGUUUUGAGGGUUUUAUUGUAUAUAUAGAUAAGGACUAACCUUGCCCUUUACUUUAUUUGAUUUGUUUCUUUAGGUCAUUGAAGAUGCAUCAUAUAUUAUACUCAUAACCAUGUUACAGGUCAGUUUUUUCUAACUCGAGUGGGUGAGUUUUUCUAUGUGAACCUUGUAAUAGUUGAAAAACACCAUGUCUUGUAUACACCACACUUUAAUAAAAUAAUCAAAUAAACAAACCGAAUGUUUCCUGUAAUUUAGGGAACCCAAGUGUCAAAGAUAUAACAUAAACUUUGGGGGCUACUUUGUGGACUUUAAGAAUCAUAUGUGAGGUAACAUAUUCACAAGUUCAUGUAUCAUUUAAUGUAGUUUUUUAAAUUCACAAGUUCCUGUAUCAUUCCUGACUUUAAUACAUAAAAAUAACAAUAUAGUUUUAAAAUAAUGUGAUUCAGGAGAUUGUAAGUAUUAGAUUACACUUUGAAUAAGUUUUAAAAUUAAAAAAAAAUAUAUUUUAGGUAUUUCUGUAAAUCAUUAAAUUUCAAAAUCAAGUUUAUAAUCUUUAAUUAUGACAAGUCUUAAAACCAUCAUAUAUAUUGUUUUUGUGGGCAAAUGCAUUUACGUGUGACAUGGGGAAUUGAUUUAGCCAAAAAUCACUUUCUUUGAUUGAGAGAAUUAAAAAGAAAAAUAGCCCAUGACCAAAUCAAUACAAUUUUGUGGAUACAAAUCAACAAUUGAUUUCCAUGUCUUAUUUUGGUCAAUGGAAAAGUAAAUAUAGAUAGACUAUAAGCAUGCAGUCUUGUCUUGUGGAAACAAAUUUUCAAUUGACUUCCAAGUCUCCCAUCACAAUAACUUGUUUCAUCACAUCACAUGCAUGGGCAACUUAGUCAUCAUAUUUGUAACUUGUAAAUUUUUGGUUAUAAGUUAGUUUUUUUUUUUUUUAAUUUUUUUUUUCAUAUACACUCCACAAAAUGCAAUGUCAAGUCUUGUACCCUUCUCCAGCAUACUGUUAGGAACAAGCUAAAAAAUCAAAAAUUAAAAUACGUUUCCUUUCCUUGACACAUUAACAUUGUUACAUCAAAUAAUACUAAAAACAACUUGUUCUGUUGUAUCUAGUUUUUUAAUCGUUGAAACCAAAAAUCAUUUUUAUAAUAUAGAACAAUAAUUUACAAAAAUUUAUAAUCUAUCUUUGAUUUCUCAAACACAUAAAUGCUUGUUUGUCAAUAUAUAUUGUGCUUUUUUCAAUUCAUAAAUUGUUAAAGACUUGUGACCAAGUUAUUACGUGUGCUAUGGGGAAUAAACUUGAACCAAAACCACUUAUUUUGAUUAACAGAAAAUUAAAAGUGAACCUGGACCAAAAGAAUACAAGUUUUUAAAUUCACAAGUUUGUGUAUUUUAAUUUAUAAAAAUAAUAAUAUAGUUUUUUAUAAAUAAUGUGAUUCAAGAGAUUGGAAGUAUUAGCUCAUGACCAAAAAAUACAAUUUUGUGGAUACAAAUUAAACAUUGAUUUCCAUGCCUAUUUUGGGGAAAAGUAGAUAUAGAAAAAGACCAAAAGCAUGUGGAUAAACUUGUUUCAUCACAUUUUUUAGAACACUUGAAUACUGUAGUAGUGAAUGAUAUACUGCUUAGUUUGCAACUUGUAAUUUUGUUGUGAUAAAUUAAAGUUAUUAUUUUCAUAUAAUAACAUAAGACAAAUAAAGAAACUGAAUAUUCCAUGUGAUUUAGGGAGGCCAAGUUCUGAUACAAGUAAUGUCAAAAAUAAUAAUAAAACUAAAUGGACCUCAUGUGUAUCAUAAAUGUGAACAUAUUGAUUAGUAAUCUUGAACACUGUUUUUAUUUAGACUUUAUAAUAAUAUCAAAAUAAUAACAUGAUUUCUAAAUAAUGUGAUUAGAAGCUUGUAAGCAUUAGACUUCCACUCAUUUGACCUGCUCAACCCAUCUAGCAGUUUCAUAUUUAGCUGCGAUUUUAAAUUCCCAGUUUAUAAUUGUAACCAUCACUUAAAAAUAUUUAUUAUGUAUCUAUGAUUUAUCAAAAUGGAGAUGCUUGUUUGUCAAAUACUGCGUUUUAUUCAAUUCAUAUUUUGUUAAAAAUUUGUGGCGAAAUAGAAUUCCAUGUGCUGUGUGGAAUAGUCUUGUCCCACAAACCACUUUUUUUGAUUGACAGACAAAAAAAAAAGCAUAAGAAUAUAAGGUUGUGGAUACAAAUUCUCCUUUGACUUCCAAGUCUUCCAAUAUUCAUUUAUGGCUUUAUAAAUGUACUCGUUGCUUCGUCAUAAUAACCCAUCACUUCUUCAUCACAACCCAUCUUUCUACUUCAACUUUCUUCUAAACUAAAACUGAGUUAAGGUUGAUAAUGGGGAUCCAUCUCAUUUUCAUAUGUGUGUUUUUGUUUGCAGCCACAUAUACUUGUUUGGGGGUUGGAAAUGUUAGUGUCCUUUGCUCUGAGCAAGAGCGACUUGCUCUUCUCAACUUCAAACACAGUAUCCAAGAUCCUUUUGAAAUGUUGUCAUCAUGGGUUGGAAAUGAGUGUUGCCUGUGGGAAGGAAUCCAGUGUGACGGUGUCACUGGAAAUGUUCAAGGCCUUCAUCUCAAAGGAGAUUGGCCCUACUCCUACAAUUACUUAGCUGGUAACAAGGUGAGUUCUUCUUUGGCAGAGUUGAGGCAUCUCAAAUACCUCGACUUGAGUGGGAAUGAUUUCCAAGGAAGUCAGAUCCCUGAGUUUAUUGUAUCCUUGAAACACCUGAGUUACCUGAAUCUUUCUUAUGCUAAUUUUGAUGGUAUUAUUCCUCCUCACAUUGGAAAUCUUUCUAAUUUAAGGGUUCUUGAUCUCAGUUCAUACGAUUCUGAAAACUUUCUGAAGGCAGAUGAUAUGGCAUGGGCUUUUGGCCUUUCGUCACUCGAGCUUCUCAACUUGAGUUAUGUGGAUCUUAGUGGAGCACAAAACUGGGACAUGAUGCUUCACAUGAUUCCCUCCUUAAAAGAGUUAAGUUUGUCACAUUGUAGACUUUCCAAUGUUAAUCUUGGUCCUUUUCUUAAUUCCAGUAGAAUACUUCCUAAUAUAAAACACCUCGAUCUUGGCUACAAUUCUUUCAAAGGUCCACUCCCUGGCCUUCUUCAAAACAUGACAUCCCUAACAUUCCUCAGUCUUUCUGCAUUUAAUCAUAGUUUGACAUGGAACUUUCCAAACCUACUAAGCAUGAUCCCUUUUUUGUCAGAGCUUCAUUUGUCAGGUUGUGGGCUGGAUAAGACGCAUCUAUCUUCUCCACAUCUUAAUUACAGUACACUUUCUAACAUCCAGCACCUCGAUCUUAGCAAUAAUCCACUUGGAGGUAUAUUUCCAUCNUGUUGAUCUUGAAUAUACAACAACUUGGAGAAUGGUUUAUAACAUGGACCUUUCAAGCAAUAAACUUGAGGGAGAAAUACCGGUCGAGCUAACUACACUUUCUAUGUUGGUGGGUCUGAAUCUGUCUAAUAAUCAUCUGAGAGGGGGUAUUCCAGAGAGCAUUGGAAAGAUGAAGAAGUUGGAAACUCUUGAUUUCUCAAAAAACAAGUUGAGCGGGAGCAUCCCUCCAAGCAUGGCAGCUUUGACUUUUUUGAGCCAUUUGAAUUUGUCACACAACAACUUGUCGGGACAAAUUCCAACAGGAAAUCAACUGCAGACGCUUAUUGAUGAUCCAUCAAUAUAUGCUGGGAACAAACAUCUAUGUGGACCUCCAUUGCAAAACACUUGCUCAAAUCAUCAAGAUCCAACAACAACAACAAGCAAGAAGAAACACAAAGCAGCUGAUGAGAAGAUGGAGGUAUGGUUGUUUUAUGUGGAUAUAAUGAGUGGUUUUGGAACAGGGUUUUGGGGUGUUAUUGGAGUUCUGAUGUUCAAGAAGCAGUGGAGACACAAACUUUUCAUGUUUGCUGAGGAAACCAUGGAUAAGAUAUACGUUGCAGUUGUGGUAAGAGUUGCCAAGUUCAAGAGAGGAAGAGAAUAGCUGCAUAGAUCAUGUGGAAUGCAAGUAGUUCUUGAAUGCAUGUUAUCAGUGAUAGUUUUGCUUUUGAGAUAUGCUUAUUCUAAUGUAUUACUAUUUGGAUUUUGUAUUUGUAUGGCCUUUGUGAUAUCAGUGUUGUUUAGAGGUGCUAAUUUACAAAAUUUCUUUUGGAUUUGGUAUUUAUACAUGAUCAAGUUGUAGAUUUAGAUUACUAUGUAUUUGAGUUGUAGAUUUUUUUUUCUUUUUAAUUCUCGACCUUCUGCUGCUGCUCUCACUCCCAACAUGCUGUUGCAUCCCUCGGUUUUCA